AUCCAGAUGUUAAGAAGAAUAAAUAAACUUGCAUAAAUUUCUACUUUAAUAAUUAUUCACGAGAAUGUUGUUGCCUCUCCCCGUUGGGAAGUUAAUGAUCUGAAAUUCUGAUGUUGAAAUUUCAAUGUUCGGUUUAGAGAAACAAUAAAUACACAUUCAUUAGAAAACCAUUAGCUUGAGAAUUAUUCGAUUCAAGAUAGAUCCUCCUUACGGGAAGUGAAACCGCUUUGUGCCAUAGAUUUUUAUUACUAUUGCAUUAAAACCUUUCAUCAACAGUUAUAAUUUUAUUAAUUAAAAGGACUUGCCCACUGUACUAAUAAAAUUAAUCACCUCCACAUUAAUGUUCUGCAGAUCCACGGAUGACACAGUGCAAUUCACUGUCAUUUGUACUACAGUGAUGGGGCGUGAAUCUUACGCGCCACAGUGUCGCGUUCAUCUCACUAGAGACAAGCGCUUACCACCAGAAGCAGUACUUGAGAAGCGCCAAGCUUUGCUUCCACUAAGCAGUUAUAAGGCAGCACCGACAUUUAGCAUUUCAAUAAUGGAUUAACUUGAGGGGCAAUAAUCCGGUCAUUUUAGGAAAUUUAAGCAUUCUUCACUAAUUUAGGCUCGGUGACCACUAACGAUAUCUAGAUUUUUUUCUAGUGCUAAAGAGGGAAAACACAGACCAUGGAUCUUUGCAUUAAACUUCAGAUCUGGAGGUGCAUUGCACUCCAGCGCAUGUCAGAUGGUAAGCCAAUCGGAAAAACAACUAAAACGAGCACUGGAAAGUAGAAAGUACCUCAUCGGCCACAGAAGCGGGACCAGGAGAGCUGGCGUCAAGGCUCGGUCCAGGUGCCUCCGUCGGUGGAGCUGGUGGACUCGACAACUCCGGACCAGGAGCAGGUGAAGCAGCGUGCUUCUUCGACUUUUUCUUGGUUGGAGUCGGUGCAGGAACCUCGGCGGUUGGCGCAGCCACUGGAGCUGAAGGAGCAGUUUCCGGAGGAGAGCUUGUUGGUGGAGUAACUGGUGCUGGUGAUGGAGGAGAUUGGGCCGGAGAUUUUGCUGGAGUUUUUGCUGGAGGAGAGCUCACUGGAACUGCAACAGGUGGUGAACUAAUAGGAGCGGCGGCAAGUGGUGGUGUAGCUACCGGAGCCGCAGCCGGAGCUGGCACCUUCUGUUUGGUCGGAGAAGCUGCUGGUGUCUUCGCUGGUGGUGAAGACACUGGAACUGCAACAGGAGCAGGCGAUUUAGAUUUUGCUGGUGCUUUAGCAGGUGCAGUUACAGGCGCUGCAGGAGCCAACGGAGUAGCAGUCGGUGCUGCACCUGGAGCUUGGCCGCCGACGCCGGCGACAAUGAUGCACAUUAAUGCAACAGAAAAAACGCUUUUGCGAUCCAUCUUGGCAGAGGAGAGAGAGAGAGAGAGAGAGAGAGAGAGAGGAGAGAGCUCGAGACUGCGAGAUANNNNNNNNNNNNNNNNNNNNNNNNNNNNNNNNNNNNNNNNNNNNNGAGAGAGAGAGAGAGAGAGAGAGAGGAGAGAGUUCGAGACUGCGAGUUAAAGGUGAAUUAGUGAGAAUGGCAUAUAUAUAGGCCCCGUUUUCCUUAAAAAAUAACGGACAGGUUUAGAUAGAUCUGGAUCGUUUACAAAAGGGGGACCCACUUAAUAGCCGUUUGAUUAACGAAUAGAACUUUUGGACCCCACAAAAUUGGUAUCAAACAAGAAUGUGGCGCUUGACACAGUCUGGAAGGAGGGACCACAAAUGUCCAAAUCUCGGUGUAUCAACGCAUGUGAUUAUGGAGUCUUUGAUUAAGUAAUAAACGCGUGACACGUCACUAAUAUACUUUGGUUAGGGCUUUAUUACGCAUAUUAACAAUACGAUUCUCUGCUGUGAUUGGUCUGGUGUUUUUUGGUUCAAGGGGAAUUGAUACAGCUGUGAGUACUGAGGUGGGGACGUUGCCAGUUUCACAACCAAAUCAUAGAUGGCCACGUGGGGUAUUGACAAUAAUUGUUGUGGAAGUAUUGGUGACUUUAGUUGUAUUUUCGGCCCACCGCCAAAGCGUGGGGCCCUGGUGGAAAUGCUGUCUCGGGGAGCGUGUCUUCUAGCCCAGUUUACUUUUACGUUUUGGGCACUUUCUUACAAUUUUUGUAAAGUAAGAAGUGAGAACUGAGAACCAGCCUGUCUCAUUUUUACAUUUUGGGGUUUUGCUUGUACGAUAAUACAAGUUGGACUAAAAAAUUUUAGGAAUGAGAUAGAUAAAAAAAAGCUAAAGUGUAAUUUCAUAUAUUAUUUGAUAUAAUAACAAUUAAAAAAAAAAUAUCAAUAGUAAGUGAUUUGAUUGGUUUUUUGUGAUAGAUUUUAAAUUUGAAUCUUUCCGAUUACAAGAGUUUUUAAGUUUGAGUCUUGAGUAUAAAAGUUAUCACCAAUUUAAUAAGCUAAAAGGAAGUUUAUUGCUAUUAUGUAGUCCGUAGUGUUAUUUCAGACAAUCGAUCCUCUUAAUGAAUAAAAAAAUAAAAAUAAAAAUAAAUUUUAAUUACAAAUUAAAAUAAUCAACUAAAUACGAUAAUAAAAAUCAUACAUUCUGAAUAAUGUGUGGACUUAUGACUAAAUUAUUUCAAAACAAUAAUGGUUCUCUUUUGAAAACUUUUUUUUUUUUUUUUAAUUUCAAAACAACUUAACUUUGCAGAAAGAAAUUUGGUUUUUAUAAAUAACUUGAAACAUUUUUAUUUCAUUGUUGUAGAUAUAAAAAAUAAAAAAUGCAGAAAGAAAUAUGUGCCAAAAAAAAAAUACUGUUUUAGUGAAUUAUAUCUUACAAUGUAAUACGAAAAUAAGUAAAGAAUUUGUUCUACGUGAAGAGGACUUAAAUAUUUUUUUUUUCUCAUCAUAUGCAGUUGUAAUAAAAAAGAAAACUUGUUUUGUGAGAAUCUUAGGCAAUUGUUUUUAUAAUAAAAACAAAAAUUAUAUAAUUUUAAUAAUUUUAGGCUAUUAUUUAGUGACUCAAAAUAAAAUAAAAUAUAAUAUAAAAUAUUUUUAAUGUUUAUAUAUAAUUAGAUAUAGUGCAUUUGUUAAUAAUUAUUCUUCCAUUUUAUAAUGUACUGGGAAAUUUUUCUUUAUUAAUUAAUAAUAGAUGAUAAACACAAUAUGAUAAUAUAUAUAUUACCAUAUGCAAUUGUAACUCGAGAUCUCCAAUUAUUGAUUAAAAAAAAAAAAAGAAAAGAAAACUUGAUCGAGAUCUUCAAGUAAUAGUUCCAGUUGUUAAUUAAUUAAAAACAUCAUAUAAUAAUAUUAAUAUCAUUAAAAAAUGAUCAAUUGCAAUAACAUAAACACAGAAUAUAUUAUAUAUAUAUAUAUGGUUGAUAUAUUUUAUUUAAUGAAAUCACCUAUAGUUCAACCAAUUGCUGGCAAUAGUCAACCAAUAACAAGUGUGAGUCUUGGACCAAUAAUAUUAGCACCUAUUAAAAUAAUUCAAUUUAAAAAAUUAUACUUAUCGAAUAUCUAUUAAAUGGUUAAAAAAUACGAAAAUUAAUUUUUUUAUUAAUUUAUUCUAAAAUAUGCAUCUAAUACCGUGAUUAGUGGACAUAUGUAUAUAAUUAAAAAAUGUAUAUAUUUAUAUUGAACAUGUGAGCUUUUACAUAAUUUGCCAACUUAAAAUUUAAGAAGCUACUGUUUUUCUUUUUCUCUUUGGUACAAUUCAAAUGUCAAUUUAUCUAUUGAGCUUUGUGUGUGUCUGUAGAGAGAGAGAGAGAGAGAGAGAGAGAGAGUUGUGAAGUUCCUUCGCGAACGGCAAAGCCCAAUAUAUGUAGACGCAUAGCCUUUAUAUGAAUUGGGCCAAUGCCCAAUCAGAAUAAAUCAUAAUUCAGAGGGUAGAAGCCCAAUGAGCUCAGAAAACUCGGACGCCCAAGUCCCAGAAAUUCCUUGAGCCCAACAACAGUCCAGUGCACUUUGGACACAUGAUAUCAUAAUUAUUUGUAUAAUAUAUUGAUGUGGAACUUCCUAAGACAGAUCCUUGGAAACUUAACAAGAUUAGGAUUUUAAAUUUGUAUUUAUGCAUUGUUCUUCUGUCUUUCACCCAUGAAAUAUUCACAAACAUUAAGGUUUUAACAUCUUCCAAUGCUUCCAUCUUGUUAAUAUUUGUUGUGAUGUACACAUGUCAAGAAAUGAAAUAUGCAUAAACUAUGUAUUUAAAAACUUACUUUGUUUGAUGCAUUCGUAUUAUUAAAUUAAGUUCCAAAGCUUAAAAGAUGGGACUAAUCAUUAUUUUCAUAUAGUUAAAGAGUGUUUGCAUAUGAUGGCCAUAUUUUCUUGAGACCAACCCACUUUUGUACUUGAAAGAACAUAGAUUAUGGGUUUUCUAAUUGGCUUCUUUGUGUUUAAAACAAACUGAAAAGUAAAUUUUUAAGUAGAGUAUGUUCAAAACCAAGGCAUGGAGGGGACCAAGCAAUGCCAUAAGUUUCUUUGUUCUAAAGAGACCUAAGAUAUGGUGAGCCACUGAGCAUCAUCAUUCAUGACUGACAUAUUGUAGUAAUUGUAGAUCCUCUACCUCUACCUCUACCUCUACCUCUGCAAUUCAAUUUCUUUUUUUUAUAUAUGUUCUUUUGUAAGUUUUGAACUUUCUGUUUUACAUGGGUUUUUGUUCAUUUGAGUCACAUUAUCACCUCAAUACUAGCAAUAAUUAGUUGAUAUAUAUAUUUUUUUUGAAAGGAAUUACUUGAUAUAUAUGUGUUCUUCCAGAAAAGAAUUAUGCAUUUUUACUCAAAUUGACUGUUUACACCUCAUCUCCAUAUUUGAAUUUUUAAGAUUUUUCUUUUCCACUUUCAAUAAUUUCUUUUUAUUGGAAAUAAAAUCUAAAUUCCACUUUUUAUACUAAUUAUUCUCUUAAUUUGUCUAGUCAAUUAGUAGCUAUGAUUCAGUUUAGUGAUUAUAUAUUAAGUAGUGUGCUAGUUGCCUGAAUACUUUCUAUUCUAGCUUUAUAUAAUUAUAUUAUAUGAUAGUUAUAUGAGGAAGUUGCAUAUUUUUUGAAAGAAAUUAUGAUAAACAAAACAACAUUAUUUUAGUAGGGGAAAUGAAAUUGUUAUAAAAAUAUAAAAUAAAUAACAAUUUCUUUAUUUAUUCAUUCAUCAACUGAGAUAUUUUAAUACUGGUAAACAUUGCUUCAAACCAGAAUAUUAAAUGUAAAAGAUAAUAUUAAUCCUUCCAAUUCUUUUUUCCCCCCUAUAAGAUAUAUAUCCUUAUAAUCUCUAAUGAUAGAUGUCAUUACAACACCAAAAUUUAAACCAAAGUUGGCAUCUUUUGUUGCUCACUACAUUCCAAAACCUCCAUCAGAGUACAAACUUCAUUUUUUUUUUUAAUUACACUUAUUGAAAUGGAGAAUUCACUUAAGUGCACUUCUUCUUCUUCUUCUUCUUCUUCUUCUGCUUCUAAGAUCCUCCCAAACCCAACAUGCAAAAAUCCUUUUUGCUUCUUUUGCGCCGUGAAUGAACCAAACCCAUCUCUCAGAAGAUCCAAAAUUACCAAAUUUUUCAAAGAAAUGCCUCUAAGAGAUGACCAAGAACAUGUCUUGGUCUUAAGUGGGUUAUGGAACAUCGCCAUGACUCAACCAAACGACCCUGAAUUCCCAUCUCUAGGCAUCCUUGAAUGCAUGGGGAAACUUAUAAACAAAGGCAUCAAAGAUAAAGAAUGGCUUCUUAGAGACCAAAACGUUUAUAUUCCUUACUACGCAGCUCAUAUAAUUGGUUCUUAUACCAUGAACAAGAUUGAAUUUGCAGAGAAAGCAAUUAAUUCAGGUGUAGUUUUGCCUCUAAUGCAACUUCUUAGGGGGAAAAUCACAUGGGUAGAGCAAAGAGUUGCAGUUCGAGCACUAGGUCACUUGGCUAGCCAUGAAAGAGCAUUCGAAGCUAUUGCUAAUGAGUUUGAAGUGGAGAUUGUUGAAUUAGCUAUAGAAUUAGCCAGUAAUUGCUCAAAGACAAUCUAUAAAAAGUUUCUUGGUGUAAAAGAUAGAAAAAGAUUGAAAUAUCAUUGCGACUUGCUCACAAGAGGUAUUGGAGGGGAAGAGAGAGAAAACAGAAAGGCAGAAGAAUGGGCAAAUCAGUUACAAUGUUGGUCUCUUUAUCUCUUAAAUUGCUUUGCAUGUAAAGAAAGGUCAGUUAGUAUUAUAUGCAAGAAACAACAGUUCUUGAAAGAUUUGUGUGGCUUGUGGGGUGGAUUAGGCAACAGAAAAUCACCUGGUGGGGUUGGACUUAUAAGAAGUUUAUGCAAUACAACAAUUGGUAGAGAAAGUAUAGCAAAUAUAGAAGAAGUGAUAGUGGGUCUAUGCAACAAAUCAAGAACUUGUGAUUAUUGGCGAUAUAUGGCUAUUGAUUCUCUACUCUUAUUGCUUAAAGAUACAAAUACAAGAUAUAAAGUUAUAGAAAUUGCAGCUUCGUUUCUUGCUGACUUGGUUGAGCUAAAAAGCUUAAAAGAAAAAGACAAAAUUGGAGAAACAAUUACACAAACAUUAUUGCAAGAUUAUUACAAAAUCAAAUAUGGAGGCUUGAAAUUGAAGAACCAAAUUGCAGAGGACGCAUUGAAGGAAAUAUGGGAGUUAAAGGUGGAGAGAAGAAAGAAAGAAGAGAUAAUUUCCAAUAAAGAAAUGAAAGAAAGGAAAAACUUGGCUCAGAUUUUUAAAAGAAAAGGAAAUAAGAAGUUUUGGUCUGGCUUUGUUGAAAAAGCUGUGGUUAAAUAUACAAAAGCUUUGGAUUUAUGCCCAUUAAAGAUGAGAAAAGAAAGGAUAGUUCUUUAUAGUAAUAGAGCUCAGUGCUAUUUGUUACUUAAAAUUCCAGAAGCUGCCAUUAGAGAUACAACCAGAGCUUUGAGCCUAUGUGAUGGCAAGAGUCUUCAUAGAAAGAGUUUGUGGAGAAGAUCACAGGCCUAUGACAUGAAAGGGAUGGCUAAGGAAAGCUUGAUGGAUUGUUUAAUGUUCAUCAAUGUGAAUGUCAAAAUCCCAUACUACGCAGCUCGCAUGAUCAACAAACAAAUGAAUGCCACGUGGAUUUUUGCAGAAGCCAAGUCAAAGAGGAAAGCUGAAAAAAGAGCAGACAAAUCCAAUGGGGAGGAUAAGGUGAAGAUGAUGAUGAAGAUCAAAGAGAAGAAAGGUGAAUGCAUGUUCUUGUUAUUUAUUCAUUUAUUUAUAUUUUUUAUGUCUAAAAGAACUAUUUUAGCGACUGAAUUUAGGUAAUGGAAGUUACAUCCACUACAAAAAAAGAACAAAAAAGUUACACUUUUGUCUCUGGUAGGACUGCCCACUGUACAAGAAGAAUCGCUGGGCGAAAGGGAGAGAAGCAAACAGCAAGGUACGGCAAAACGGAGAAGAGAAGCUGCAGGACUCACUGCUGCUUUGGCACGUGUGAGAAUUGUUUGAUAGAUGUGGUCAAAGAGUUGUGCAAUUUCAGGAGUCAGGAGAGCAAAAUCAUGAAAUAGGGCCACUGUACUCUGUCUAAUUAUUAUUAUUCUCUCAAAAUAUUAAAUUCCACUACUCAUUAGAGGUGAAGUAUUAGCAUAAACUCAUUAAAUGUAAUUAAUUAAAGAAAUUGUCGGUGAACUAAUAUAUCGUGUCCUUAGUAUUUAUGAUAUUUUGAAGCAUAGAAUUGAAAAUGCUGCUGCAUGAUACCGGAGAGUGUUGAGAAGCUAUUCUUAAAUUUUUAAAUUUAAGAAUUUAGGACCAAUAAUCGGUCGGAUCCUCAAAAGUGCACUGUAUCUUAUCUUUUGACCCCAGGCGACUUUAUUUGGAGUCGUUAGAGAAUUUUAUUUGAAUUCGCAACAGUUUAAGGGUAUAAAUUACUUUUUCAUGAUUUAUUUUCUUAUCUUUUGGUGAGCUCACAAUAUUUUUCCCCUCCCAAUUUGUAACAUUGAUACCUGACCCUGUUACAGAUUAAGACACGUAAUCUAAUUACGACCAUGAUAGCUAGCUUGAAAGCUAACCGAAAUCUUUUAUAAUACCUAAUCUUGAUUUUUCAUGUAUCAUGUCGUACCUAACUCACUAAUUGUAUACUUACAAGAGGACAUAAACAAUAAAUUAUUGUCCUGAUCCAACAAUUCCCAUAAAGUAAUUUGCACUUUAGUGGACAUAACACAUUACAUAGGAUACUAGGCAUAUUUCCUCUUGGCGUUUUAAGGCCAAAUUCAAAUUUUAGAGACAUAUUUCAGAAUUUUGGACCUAAAAUGCAAAAGGCAAAGUAAAUAUCUAACAUAUAAUUAUGGAUGGAAGCAUAUCCAUAAUUUUUUAAUUAUUUGUACCUAUACAUCUAUUUAGUAUUCACCAUCCAUAUAAAUAUACCUUUAAUAUCCAAAUCUAUUUAAAAUUUUAUUAUCUAUACAUAUGCUAAACUCAUUUGAAUAAUUGUAUCUAAGUACGUUUAAAAUUUUAUUAUCUUUACACAUGCCAAACUCAUUUGAAGUAUUUAAAAAUUUAAACAAUUCAAAUCUAAAUUUAUUUAUUUAAAAUACAUUUUUUAACUGAUAAUUAGUAUAUCCACUAUCAUUGAAUUUAUUCAUUUAAAAUACAUUUUUAACUGAUAAUUAAUAUAUCCACGACCAUAAUUCAUUUAAUAUAACAGGUAAGGUAAUGAUAGUGAAUACCCAUAGCUCUAUCUCAUAACAUAUUCAUAUUCAUAUCCAUUAUAAAUAUCACUUUCGUUCUAUAAUAUUUAUCACAUUUGUGAUUUCAAUGAAUAAUAAAUCUUUUUUUUUUUUCAUGUUUGCCUUUUAUAUAUAACUAAUAAUUAUUGCUUUAAUUUCAUGAUUUUAGAGAAUUAAUAAUAAAUUAAGAGUAAUAUAGUCAAUUUACUUAAUAAUUUAUCAUAACUUAAAUAAAUUUAAUAAUUUUUUUAAAGAAGAUAAAAUUCUAAAUAUGUCGGGUGAUACAGAAUAAAAGUAGUAGGCAGUAAUAAUUUCAUCACUCAUCCAUCCUAAACCUAUUUAUAAGCAUCUGGACCAUCGUUAAAUGGAUCAGAACGAAGCAGUCUACUUUCAAAUGUCCUGCUUCCAUCCCACAUACAAUAAUGUCUAUGGACUUCAGGUGAUUCGCGUUCAAUAAAAUUUAAAACAUCUAUCAAAUCAAUGGGCACGCUGACCUUUUUUUUUUUUUUUUUUGAUAUAUACAUAUAUAAUCAGCCAAAUAUAUGCAAAUUAAAUUAACUGAAUUUUAAAUAAAAAUUUUAUUGACAAAGCAAACUUUUAAUUUGAUUUAUUAUAAAACUACACACUUCUUUUGAACAAUUGAACUUGUAAAAUCACAUCAUUAAACAUAAACUCAAGCAUUUUUUUUUUAAAUUACUCAACAGAUUGGUAAUAAAUACAAUUUGGUAAAUUAAAACAUUUCAUAUACACAACUUAAAUUGAAUAUUCAACUGGAUAAAUUUAGAAAUUAAAGUGUUUAAUCAGUCGAAUUAAAAGGCGAGGGUUCCGACAGACCUUUUCAUACAAUUUACAUUCUGCUUAAUGUAAUAUAUGCUUCAAGUAACAGAAAAUCGAAUCUAAAUUAAGGCAUAACUAAAAAAAAAAAAAAAAAGGCAACAUAAGCACUUCCUAUAUGUCAGUCGACCUUCCCUUCAUCACUAUUGGGCAAAGAGCAUAGCAGGUUAGAUUUGACAGAAUCCCAAAGUAUAUACUACAAAUGAUAGACUACCUCAGUAAUGUAAGUUCUUUCGUCGAGCUAAUGUAAUGGAACACAAUUGCAAUGCAUGGAUAUGACAGAUAUCUCCAAUGAAAUGAAUCUAACGAGCACGGAUUUAAUUUGGGUGUCAGGAGAACUGGAUUAAGGAUGUAAAGAAAUUUGCAACUAUAUUAUUCUACAAUUGCUGUACAACACAAUCAUACAACAAAGAGGAAUGCUUACAAGACUUUUAAGUCAGUGUGUAUGCAAAGGCAUCUUGAGCAACUUGAACUCGUCUGUAUGGGUCCACUCGAACACUUUCCAUGAAAGACCAGCUGCUGUCUGCUGCAUCAAUUUCGAAUUUACACAAGUUCAGACAAAAAAAAAAAAAAAAAAAAAAAAAAAAAAAGAGGUUGAAUUUGCAUGGGGAAUUCAAUAUAACUAAAAAAGGACAUCCUUGCUGAGUGAAUUAGUUUCUCAGAGCAAAGAAACAAACUUAGCCCAUUUGAUAUAAAUGAAUUCCACGAAAUUUUGUGAAAUUCAUGUUUUAUGUUUGAUAUGGACAAAAAUGAGAUCCAACAUAAUUAAAAUAAAUCUUUACCUUUUAUAAAUGAGUUCUAGAUUUCAAAUUCGUUUGAACCAAAUAAGGGUGAAUAGCAAUGAAAUUCACGCAUUAAAGUAAUGCAUAAUGCAUCAGAAUUACCAUGUGCAAUGUUACAAAAAGAAAGAGACCUGAACGACAGACCCCUUUUACUGGUACCAUCAAUUUCAACUCCAGUUAUCUGUUUUAUAAGUCCAUUCCAAAAGCUCUCUUCAAAUGCCAGGGGCCUUACCAUCAUAUUUUCACCUUCACAAGGCAAUCAUCAAAUUUGCCUGAUACUUACUCAGUGAACAACUAAUGCAGCAAACUCACCUCUUAAGGAUUUGAAGGAGCUCAAUCAUCGUAAGAGCUGAGAGCAGCUACAACCGAUCCUGUUGUUGCAAAAGUUGAUGCCACAUCUGGAUAAUCUUUCCAAGAUGUUGUGACCUUGAGUGAUGGAUACAACCAACUCUUAGCAGAAUCCACAAAAGAGCUUGGGUCAAAGUUCAGAAUUGCUUCCCAAUCCACCUGUACCCCUUUUGGAAUUUUCUCCUCAAACUCCAUAUUAGCAGCAAGAAGCAAUCCAAGCAAAACGAUAAAUCCAACUGCAGCAGUGCCUCUAGACAGUGGCAUAAAAUUGUACCUGAAAAGUGAUCCCAUUUAUUUGUACAAACCACCAUAUUUCUCUGAAGAAAAAAGAAUACCUUCUAUGUAUUAAGAGUAUUUUUCUGUACCAAUAAUAUGUCAUCCUCAAAAUUGCAUCUCUAACAUUUUCAAGUACAUCAAGAUCAGUAGACCCAUAGUUUUCACUGCAAUAAGCAUUGCACACAGCCUGUGAAUCAAAUUUUGAAACAUUCAGUUAAUAAUAAAUAGAAAACAAAUAAAAAUCAAUGUCAACAGAAGAUCCAUAUGGAUCAAAUUAAAGAGGUACUGAAUUUGACACAAUUAGUAGGAGAAUUUAGGAAUAAUAUUAAGGUGCAAUUUUUCAAAAUUUAUGCGUCAGCAAAGAUUGAAAGGAAAAAUCCAUGUGCUAAAAGUAAAAGAAGUAUAUGUUAUCAGGCUGCUGCUUUACUAGUACAAGGAACUCAUUCAAAUAAUCACAAAAUGCAAUAAGUUUGCCCAUACCAAUUUUUUUCAUUGUAUAUCAUGUCAAAGGAUAAGCAUAUGAAAAGAUCCGGGACCUGGAUUUAUACACAAAUUAAUACUGAGAAAAGGAAGCUUCCAACCAACAAAUAAAAUCCCUUGCCAAACCUUACUCGGGCAAAUCUGGAAGGUUAAUAUUUACACUGGAAGAGAUAAAUAAACUAAAUGACUGAUUUAAAAAGCUUCUAGACAAGUUCAAUUGAAGUCUUGACACAAAAUAGACUAUUUUAUGUCAAACCAGAUACCAAGUUAUCAAAUUUGAAGUGCAAAAAUUAUCUAACAAGCUUAACUGAUUAGUACAAAGAGUUCACAGAGAUGACACCAUAAAAAGAGAGAAUUGAACAGUCACGUGCAAAAGGAAACUUCAACUCCUUUGUGUUCUGUGAUUCUUUAUUCUAUCAAUAUGUUGCACCAAUUAUAAAAGCAGCAAAGGAUAUGAUUGAGAAAAUUAUGGGUUCAUUUAUUGAGAAAAUGGGAACCUUACCUCCCAAGCCAUUGCCAUUUCGGCAUCAUACUCAUCCCAUCUAGAAGGUGUACAUGGUGUUCUUAUUGCAAAGUCAAAUCCAUGCUCACCCCUGGAACAAUCAUUUCGAUGUUCAGCCAUCCGGGAAAGCAUAAAAAUGCAUAAGAAUGUAAACUUAAAAAAAAAAAAAAUCAGAAGAAAUAAAAUGGAGAAUAAUUAGGAAAAACAAAUAGGACUUACAUCUUCACUAGGGUAAUCCUUGUCCCUUCAAGCUGCUUCCUGAAAAGAGUAUAAACAGCCAAGAGUAAUGUUAUCAUUGGGAAAUUUUAUAUGCACUAUAUAUUGCAUAUUGCAUUUCAUAAUUAAAGGAAAGUUACCCCUCAGUUGCUGUACUGUUGCACCAUGUAGCCAACCAGAAGUCCUCACCAACCACUUUGUAAAGAUCAGAACAAGUUUUUGCAUCCAUGAUCUGUAUGUUCCAUAACGAAAUUAACCAUAUGCAUAUAGAUAAACCAGUUUUAUUUCAAUGACAAAGUGGGAGAAUAAUUGAUGAAACUUAUAGAAUAAUAUCAUAUUAAUAAAAAACGGAUCACAUUUAAUAGCCCCAUGAAAAGAUACUUCUAACAGUAGUAAAAAAGAGGAAAAACCAAAAUGCUGACAUAGGCACGCCCAUAUAACCACUUUAGAAACAGGUUGAUUUCUUUCAUUAUCUACAUUACAAAGAAUGACAGACAUGAUCCUAUCUUAGAGCAUCAUUGAAAAGCAACAAAAUGGAGGAAGAUAAAAUUGAAACAGAGAAUUGAACUACUCACAUCCUGUAAUUUCUCAUCCUUGGAUAUAUCAAUGAUUUCAUCCGCCUUGCUGCACACAUACAGUUUAUCCUUCAUGAUUGUCUUUGCAGCAUUUAAUGUUCUGCAGAUUUAACAACUGAUGAGAAUUUUAAAACCUGGAUGGACCUAAUAAAGAAUCGAACUAGGAUUCACCUUUCAAAAUUUGGGUAGUAGCGAACAACUUUUGCUUGUCCAAGAAUCAAUGGUGUGUGAGACCCAAAUCCAGAGUUAAACUCUUCACUGAAUUGAAGAGAUGCCCAAAUCCAUACAAAAAGAAGAAUUACAGCAAAGACUUGAGUCAGUUAAAAAACUCAUUCAUCUUGAAUCUCUAAAUAAUACACAAAGUCAUCCAAACAGUGCCAAAAUCAGACAUUCUGGGGACCGGAUUAAGAUUGAGGCAUAGAAUUGACAGGUGCUAUGAUAUCAAUAAUUUCGCAGGUCAAAUACAGGCCAUGACUGCUCAGCAUGCAAAUACUCAGACAAUAGAUGAACUAAUUGAUUAAACUGGUACAAACAUCUAUGAACAGUCUAGAAUGCCAAUUCCCAGAUAUUACAUAACAAAAUCUGUAUAACUAAAGUAGUAAAAUGUGAAUCUUGCAUAACACGUAUUCCAAUGGUAAGUAACAUGUCCUGUUCAUUUUGAUGGGCUAGAGUAAUAGCAUGAAUUUGGUAUACCUUAACUUGUUAACCCACACAACUGGGUCACAGGGCUCAGAAAUUUGUCUCCAUUUGACAGCGAUAGAGUAAACGUCUUGCCACGUCAUCUUAUAACGACCGGGAGAUCUAUCUUCUGUAAUGCCGUACAAAGUUGAUGUUUCUGAGGAACUGCUUGUACUGCAACCGGCGCCACCUCUAUUCUGACUGGCCAAGUUGAUUCUUCUUCGAGUUCUCUUACCAUAUUUUGACAUGUUUUUAUUAGAAUGUUUCCAUUCGGCCUGCAAAGAACGCCAGGCUUUUGAAACCUUUUGUGCAAUUUCAAUAGCUGCUAGUCCUGCCAUGCGAUGCUGAAACAGAACAAAAGAUGAACCAUAUUAAUAUAUACAAACUGUAACAAGAAAGUAACAUUAAGUUGACUUAUGCACAGUUAUGGGGCAACAAGAUAUGAUUAAAACUCAGGUGCGACCUGAACCCAACCAAGCAGAAUAUCAACGUAUAAGAUUAUCACAAGUUCAUUACAGGUAGAAGAAUAAGGGAAGUAGAUCAAGAGCAAUCUUGUUAUGUCUUUGAACAUGAUACCAAUAACAUAAAAUGACAACUUGAAUUGACAACAAGACUCAGUUUCCUGUACACGAUUCACCUCAUAGUUAUUUUGUUGCUCUUGUACAGGAGAUAUCUUUCUUUUUCUACCCUAAAAAAAUCCUAUCAGGCAUUGGCACACCUCUUGGUGACCUUUGGUUUGAUUUCGUUUCUUCUAAAGAGAGGAGAAAUUGUAAAUCAAAGAAUUAAAACUAAACCAAUUUGGUUAGGGAUACUUCAAUUCUAUCACCACUUGACAAUUAUACCAGAAAUUGCUACAUCAAUUUAUGAUUUAUAGAGAUAAAACCAUCAUAUCACCAACUUUUGAAACUUCCAGACAUCCAUUGGUCCCAGUCGGGAAGAUUGACCCAAUGUAAAAUGCAUGACAGGGUAACAAUGUACAUUUAUGCUACGUUUGGGAAGAGGGAGGAAUUAAAAUAAGAGUGGAAGUAAAAUUACACUAUUCACUUUCCUCCAAAAUGAAGUGAAAAUUGGGCUAAAAAUGGUGUAAAAUAAAUUCAUUUUACAUCCUCCUUAAUAUUUUCACCCAAACCAAACAAAGAAUUUUGAAAAUUCCAAGGCAUUUUACCCUCUAUUUUACAUCCUCCCUAUAUUUUACCUCCAUCCAAACAAUCCAUGAAGCAUUUUGCAUGCUGACGAGAUCUUUCUAGUAUAGAGGGCCCAAUUGACUUGCCAAUGAAGGCUUCAGGAAAACAGAAGCUCACACCAUGAAUCAGCUUAAUCUAAACAACAGAACGGUUUCUAAAACAUGCAUUUAUGCCAUCAAAUGAAAAAACACCCAAAAAAAAUCUGCAUUGCACAUACUAAAUUUUAUAAGAAGCAAAAUUAUCCUAUCUUUCAAAGGAUGAAUUAAUAAAAAAAUAAAUCAUUAGUUUUUUUUUUUGUUGAGAAUCUAGAUGAGAAACUUAAAAGAUCAAAAGUAAAAGUGCAAGAUAGACUAGUUAGCGAUUCAAAACUAUAUGAAAAAAUUAUAAAGACAUAUAAUAAGCUUUCUAUGAGAAAGGAGAACUGAAAGAAAAUGAAAACUAGAACCCAAACAGAAAGAGCACUGCAUUACAUAUAUCUUUCAAAAAUUAAUCACCUGACGCCUAUUGGGUAAGAAGCCAGGGCAAUCAUAUUGAAUCUUCUUGCCAAUAGAAUCAGCUGCCAAUAGAAGAGCAGUCUUUGGUUUUGUAAUGGCAAAAUCUUGCUUUCUCAGCUUACCCCUUUUCAGAGAAUCAUGAAGAGGAGGUUGGCGGUAAACCUUCUCGCACACAUUCUUGGGGUGCAAUCUUUUGCACCAGUACUCCUGAAAAUUCAUUACGGCAUGCACACAAAAUAAAUAUGAAAUAUGUGCUCACAAGAAGUUGCUGAAGCAUUGUACUUUCUGCACAAUCUGGCAUGUUAACUAGUAAAUGGUUCGAUGUAAGCAUGUGAUUAUUUCUGAAUGUGUGAUUAUUUCUGAAAGAAAAUUUUUUGUGAGGUCAUGGUUCAGCUCUCAUAGAAUAUUUUAAAAAAUGUUUAAGAUUUCGAAGAAGGGACUAUUCAUGAGUGAAAAACAAGUAAAAGAGUACAUAUAAAUGUGUGUAUUGUGUGUGUAUAUAUAUGUAUUGUACGUUUCUUAUUCAUUAAUACCUUGAAAAGAGGAUCAAUGUCUCCAUCAAUAUCAAACCAACAGAAAUCACUGUUAAUUUUAGAAGCUGUAUACAAAGCAAGCUCCUUCUGCAAAAGAUAAAAGCUAAAUUUAAAAACUUUUCCAUAGAGGCCAGGGUCAGAUAUGAGCUAAAACAAUCAAUUGCCGACUGAAACUAUUAUAUUACAAAAUGACUUGGAUAGCAAUAUCUUAUGAAAUACAGUUAAAAACAAUAAAGCAAAACUGAUAUAGAAAAAUGCGUACAAACAUGCUAAAGAUGCACAAUAUCAAUCUACAAAUGGAUUUCUGAUGCAGCUCAAGCAUGUGAAUUCAUUGAAUGAGAUAAAUGUUGGAAAUAAAAAGCAGCACGUGAUAAAUUUUCAAGUUAAAAAUAAAAUAUUCUAGAUCAACCACACCUGAUAGAAGGCUAAGCAUUGAAGCACAAAUUUCUCCAUUGAGUCUAGUUCAAUAUCUAGAGUUGCAUCAUAAUCCUUCACCUGUGACCAUCGAACAAAAUUAUUGCAAACAGAAAAUACAAGAUUAAGCAAUCUGCAACUUAUGAAUAAGACCAAUAGUUUUCAUGGAAGAGACCUUACCGCCUCUCCAUAUUCUCCAAUAGCAUGGUAGCAGGAACCCCGUAAAUAUAAAUAUUCUAUGUUUGAAUUUUCAAUACUCAAGCCAAUGGAUAAAUCCUUGAUAGCCUUCCUGCAACAGUAAAAUCUAAAUCAGUCACUCAUGUCCAUGCAGAACUAGUUAGAAAAUGAUGUGCUGCAGAAGAAGACAUUGCAUUUAACUCAAUGAUAAAAUUCGAAGAGUAAAGUGUAAAAUUUUCUAACAGAACUUAUUGCAAAAUUUUAUUUUGAUUUCUAUUUGACACUCUACCAGGUUAUUUGCAAAUUUAUCACAUAUAAACUCCAAAAGGGUGGUACACAUCCGCCUAAACAAUAGCCCUUUUUAUCUAAAAAAGAUCCAGAAAUAAUUAAUGUAGAAAACUACACACUUAGAAAACCACUGUAGCACCCAUACAAAUCAAGUGGCUAAGAACUUUUCCGUCUGGCUUCACUGUCACUUAUUGCUUUUCUCAUCAAUCUCUUGCUGUUUCUUUAUACCUUAGGGUUGAUAUCUUGAUCCUCCAUACAAUAUGUAAAUAUCCAUCUUCCUCAACAAGUUGAUUCAUAGCUAGAAGAAUAAGUGUGCAUGUGUAACCAUAAUACCACGCAACAUUCCAAACCAGAAAUAAAAUAAUUAGAUAUUGCUCAAAGGUAAAUGAAGAAGCAUAGUAAGCUAGAUAGGUCAACUUCAAAUGCCCUAAAUGUAUAAAAAAGGCCUUCUGAAGAAUUUUAUCAAGAUAUAUGGCUUUCCUUCAAACAGUUUGCUGAUAUACACGAAUGUUAUACUAAUAAUGUUUGACUUAAACCCAUAAAGGCAGGGAUGCUUUGUUGUAGCCUUGUAGACAGUACUGAUCAUUACAAUUCAUCCACACAAUGUGUAUGUAUAUAUCUAAAAGUAGGAAUUUAAAUGGAGGGGCAACUGUAUAAAGAAAACAGAAAAUCAAAAUUAAAUGCACCCAUGCAUAUUAUUCGAAGAAAAAGUACUUUUUUUAUAAAAACCUGAGUGAUUUGCACAUAAUGCCAAACUACAUUCUCAAUCAAUUUGCUAACUAAAACAAAUAUUUCAAAUAAACGCCAAGUCCCCUACUACAUAAACACCUUACCAUUUUAUGAUUUCCCGCACUUCAAAUAUUCAUAAGAUGAUGCAAAUUAAAAUGUAUACAAUGGUCACAUAAAUAAAAAUAAAUAAAUACACCACUGAGAGAAAAUCAAGAAAUUGAUAUUGACAUCACAUAAAUGAUGGAAAAAUCUACAAGAGGUGUAAUAGUCACUUAAACAAAUAAAUAUUUUACGGAAAAUCAAUAAUUUGAUAGAACAUACCUGUGGUCUCCCAUGCCAUGAAGCAGUAGCCCACGCAAGUAAUAGGCUUUUGCAAACCUAUCAAAUGUAAUAACAGUAUCAAAUUCAAGUUGCAAAAUCACAAGCAGAAUCAGAUACAACAAAUUCAUCAUCAAACAUUACACAUUUGCAACAGGAAUGAAAUGAUGCAGACUGAAGAGUGACAACAAUUACCUUGCAUCAAUUUGGAUAACUUGUUGACUGCAUUCGAAAGCUUUUGAUGAGUUUGCUAAAUCUUGGUAGAACUGCAAUGAUGCAGAUAUUGAAACAACAGUAAGUAAUAGAGCUUCUUCACAAGGAACUUGUCAUACUGACGGAACAAUGUGUUGUGAAGGUGAAAUUUGCAACUCUAUAUAGUAGUAAAGUACUGAACCUACUCAUCGUUGUCACUGUGUGCUUGCAAAGAAGUCACUAUAAACCAUCAGCAUUUUUUCAACCGUUUGUGUAGAUGCUAUGAGUUAACCAAAAUAAAAUAAAAUAAAUAAAACUUCUGUAGGAAUAGCAUUUUCCUUCAGCUUCUAAUUUCUUGUGAAACCCUCAGACCCACAAACAAUAUGAACUAAGGACCCAAAUGUAUUGGUGCUCUAGAUGUUGAAUAAAUACAGCUCAAAAAGAUAUGUUUAGCAUACAGCACAUACAUAUCUGGACAUUAUCGAGUGCUUUACAGAACCAAAAAGUGGAUACUGCAAAAUCAUGUAUGCAAACAUUGGGUGAAAGGCUGGACAUAGCAUAUGAACUGGCUCAAGGACUGAAAGUACCAUGCAAGACAGUGGCCAAACAUCAUACAUAAACACGGACACUACGAGGCAAACUUCUGAAGCUAUCAAAGAAGUCUGCAAGUGCAAGUGCCAGAUCUUUUAUUCCCAAAAUUACUUUGCAACUCCAUCCUAACCGCCUUUCUCAUUAACGCCCUCAAUUUAACAUCAUAUAUAUAACAGUGUUAUAUAUUCCAAUAUUUUGGUAGCAUGAGCUUAUCUAUCCACAUCUUUCUUUCAUUGUUAUAAAGAUGCUUCAUUGUAUCUGCUUUCCUUGUCUCCAACUUAAAAUAUCACUAUUACAUGUAUUUUUCAUCAAUAAGAGUCCUAAGUUAUUGUACUGCAAAGGAACAACAAUUUCAGUUAAGUGCGUUAUUUUGCUUACUGUAAAUUUGGGCACAUGGUUUACAUAUUAAAUAAGUAAUACUAUCUCCAUAAAUAAUUUUAUGCCAUUGACGUCAACACAAGUCGUAAGAAUAACAUAAAUAAACAAUGGACAUCCCACUAAAGAGAUCAGCUAAACUAUUCUCCUUGAAGAAAAUGCAAAUACGUAGUUACCUGUGUCAGAUGAGCCCAUCCCUCAAGGAAACUCCGAUCAAGUUGGAUAGAUUUUAAAUGUGCCUCCUCAGCCUUUUUAUAUUCACCAAUUGAAGAAAAUGCCAAACCCUAUAAAGUCAAAGUUCCCUCAUUCCAAGUAGAAGAAUACAAACAAUAUUAACAAUUUAAGAUGCUAAAUCACAAAUAUAUGAUCUAGAAUGAGUAAAGUAUCAGACAUUCAGGACUCACUAAGUAUGUGUAGGCAGAUUUGUUAUCCUUAUCAAGCUUCACACAUGCAGAUAGAUCUUCCACAGCAGCAUCAAAAUCCUUAAACUUAAAAUUAACAAUUCCUACAAUAUUAAAAAUUAUGUUGAUCAAUUGUUUGGUAAAGAGCAGCCAUCGACCACAACUCUACUGUUUCUACAACUACAUUGAUUAGAUCAAACAUUCAGCUUUGCUGGCAUGCUACAAGCAAAUAUUAAGAAAUGAAACUAAAAUCUAAAGACAUUAUGAUUCCAUUGGGCUUAUAGCUCAGUGGUGAUGUGCUUGCCUCAGUGUAGAGUUCAAGGGUUCAAACCCAAAUACAUCAAACAAUUCAGCUUUGCGGGCAUGCUACAAGCAAAUAUUAAGUAAUGAGACUAAAAUCGAAAUAAAUUAUAAUGUCAUUGUGCUUAUAGCUCAGUGGUGAUAUGCUUGCCUCAAUGUAAGAGUUCCAAGAGUUCAAACCCAAAUAGCCACUCCCUUUAAGAAAUCCCAAUAUAUGAAAAAGAAAGAAAAAAACAAUACAACAUCCACUCCCUUUAAGAAAUCCCAAUAUAUGAAAAAGAAAGAAAAAGACAAUACAGCAUCAUUUUUAACAUGAAAAGUAGCAUACUUUUUAUGAAAAGGAAAGAAACUACAGAUGAACAUAUUCAACGGUAACAAAUCUUUCAAAUACAAUCCCCACACAGAAGUAUUUCUUACUUGAUUAGAUAAUUAAACAGAAUAGUUGACAUAUAAAGUAGAAGUGAAUGACAUGUUAUCCUGUCAGAUCAUGGAAGUUGACUAAAUAUUGAAAUACAAUGAAAGAGAUACAUUAAAGAAAGUUACCUCUUUCAUGUAAUAUAUCUGGUGAGUUUGGUUCAAACUCUAAUGCCUUAGUCAAAUCUUGAAUGGCCUGCUAUGAAGAGGCGACAUGAAUUAACAUAAAAGCAAUUUGAAGUUUGUUUAAUCCUAUGAACUAAGAACUUUCAGUCAUUUCAAGAGAAGAAAGAUAUAUAUGUAACAACUGAAUAAUUUAAUUUAAAACAUAGACCCAUGUUGGGGAUAUGCUUUGAGCUUGUUUAAUGCCUUCUUCUUAAAGUAUAAAAUUAAACAAAAAUUCAGUAGUAGUAUGAGAAAAUGAAGUUGCUACAUACAGGAAGAAAAUAAAGCCCUCCAGUGGGUAACUGCAAAUUAUUUUCCCAAAAACUUAAUAAGCAGGUGAGAAUGGUUUAAAAUCCAAGAGAAAAAGAACAUAGCCAAAGCCAAUAAAAAUAUUUUCCUCGUUUGGGUAAUAAAGCCUUCAACGGUCAAUGAAUUGUUCAAACUAUUCCUACCUCUACAGAUUCCCCUAAUGCAGCUCGGGCCUGCCCUCUUCGCUUCCAUGCUUCACCAGCUAAUGGAUUUGAUUCAAUAGCCUAAAACAUUAAUCAUGUAAAGCACUUGUAAGGCAGAAACUUAAAUCUUUUCAUAUAUAUCUAGCACAUUGAAAUUCAAAUACCUUUGAAAAGUCAGCAAUAGCAGCUUCCAGUUCUCUCUGGAAUGCAAAUGCUGUCCCUCUACCAAUUAGUGCCUCGGGAUAAGUAGGAUAUUCUCUCAGUAUCUGCAUAAGAAACAGUUAACACCCUUUUCAUAAAAGUUUGAUGUAUAGCCCUGCCUUGGAACAAGAUGAGACUUUCCACACACACUCUCAAAAACAUGCACAAAAUCAUAAACGGGGGACCAGACAAUACAUUCCCAAAAGAUACAAAACAACCAGAAUGAUGAAUACAAAUUUACCUGGUUAAAAAUAGAUAUGGCAGAAGCAUAUCUCCCUUCAUUGACCUGCAAGAGGGCACUUUGUAGUUUCAAACGGAAUGCAAUACUUAAAACAUUGACAAUCUGACCAAUAAGAAUAGCACUUGUUAGCAACAUUUAAACCUUAAAACUUAAAAGUAGUGCAUACCUGUGCUAUACCCCGUGACAAUCUGAAAUCCACAGUCACGGACUUGGUCUUCGAAAUCUUAGUUACACAAAACUUUUUACUUUUAUUGGCUUCAUCACUUGCUUCAUUAGGCACGUCAGUCUCAUUACUCGAUUUGCUGCGGAUGUGACUUGUUUCACCCAAGCUGCUAGGUAGCUUAGAAAAUUUACUUGGGAAUUCUGAUGUAUUGCUUAAGCUAUUGUAGGAAUUAGAACUAUGGCUUGGUUUAUCAAGAAUAUCAUGAGUUACAUUCAUUGGGCUAUCAACCUUUUUACCCCCUUCAGCUUUCUCACUUAAGUCAUUUUGCAUGCCAAAAUUAUUCCCCGACUUGCAGUAGAACUCAGAUGUAUCUCUUGACUCACUACAUAAAUAAUGUUUAUCUCCUAAUCUAUUCUGAUUUAUAUAAUUUUCUGUUGGUUUUCCGUUUACGAAGGAUCCUGAUUCAGGUAUAGGUAUUGGUGACUUCCCUCCAGCUUCAUCUUUUAUCCCAUUCAGCACUUCAAACUUAUCUCGAAACUUGCUGCAGCUCUGAGAUGCAUCGCCAGACUCACCACUUGAACUUGAGAAAUCACUCGAUUUAUUCUGGAUCUUAGAUGAUUCAGUUACAUUCAUGGAUGACCUAGAUUCUGUCACAUUAUUUUCAUGACCAUUGUUUCUGUCUUGUUUUCCAAACUUAAGAAGCUCUUCAAGUUCCAGCAACUGUUUCAGAUCCGCAGACUGAUGCAAAGCAUGCUCAUAGCCCUGUUCCCAUACCAGAAGAGCAUCCUCUUUCCUUCCCAAAGAUGAAAACGCACGACCUAAAAUCACAAACGUAAGAUCAGGAGAGAAACCCGUGAAUCCCAAACGUGAGAACACUCGUUCUAUGCCUCACUUUGACCUAGAUAACAGCAAUUUAUAUCGCAUUAUUGUACAUUGAAGAGAAUAUGUCAAGAUAAGCUAAACUUGAUCAUCAGUUGCAGGGGAUCAGGCGGUAUAACAACGAACAAUUUUUUGCAACUAUGGAUAAUAUUAUAGAUUUCUUGUUUAUCAAUGUUUAAGGAACAUAGGAAAGUGACUAUACCCAGUAACAGACCUUGAAUCAAGCAUAUUGUUUUCCAGAUAAAAUAAAUCCACAAACAAAUGGAAAAACAAUUCCACAAUUAAAAAAAGCCAAACUUUUCAACAUUUUAACUCCUAAUGAAAAAACGAAGCCUACUUUUAGUUUCUUCAAAAGAAAAGCACAUGCAGCACAGUCUAUGCUCUUGUUUAUAUCAUUGAAGACAUCAAACAACGUUUACCACAAAAUUGCUAGCAAUUUUUCAUUUGAUGUGCUGCAACAAUUAAUACACACUUAUUUCCUGUUGGGAUAAUGAAUCAAGGGUCAUAGGAAAAUUCAUGCAAUAAUUAGAAAACUAUUGUGACCAUAGUAAGCAAUCUCUUGUAGAUCUCAAAUUCAAAUUUAGAUUUCAAAUCGAAUGCUGAAUAAGCCACCUCUGAGCAAUUCCCAAAUUACUUAAAAUCUUGGACAACUUGACAGCAAAAAGCCAUUAACGAUGUGUAGUGCCAUAUGGAGAGAAAACCAUAUAUGCAACUGUACAAGUACCAAGAAAGGACUAUAUGUUAUGAACAAGAUCAUCCAAAAACAUGCAUUGACUUAAAACAAUACAUGUUAUUUGAUAAAGGAAACAGAAAAUGAUUUCCAGCGUGCUUCAGCUAUUAUCUAAGCAACUCCUUUUUUUCAGUACUGGGUACUGAGUCUAAUUGUCUAAAAAAUUGGAAAAAAAAAAAAAAAAGCACACAACUGAACUGGAUUGGAUUGAAUUGAAUUGCCUCGAGCCCGCUCGAAUUUGAAGUCAGAAAAUUACAAUUGCAGCUAAAAUUUGACACGCAAAACAGAAACAGAGUAAAACACCUUUGAGAAUAUAAGCUUGAAGAAGAUUAGGAUCGAGCUGAAGCGCCUUGUCACAGUCCUUAAUGACAUGCUUAUGGAGCUCCAAUUGACUGUAACAAAAUGCUCUAUUGCUGCAACCAAAGAAAAGAGAAAGAAGAAGUUCACAUUAUCGAAAAUCAAUCUUUCUUGAAGAUCAAACAAGAAGACUACAACUGGAAAAUUAAUGAACUGACCAGAUAUCUUGAAUGGUGCAUGACUGAGCGAGAAGCGAGUCGAGAACUCGAAUAGCCUUUGACCAAUCUCCGGAGGCACAUGACUUAGCGAGCUCGGCACGCUCAGAGAUCGCCGAUACCAUAAUAACUCAACUGAGUUACAAACAAGUUUGUUGAGAUUUCAAUUUCAAGAUUAAAAAGGGAAAAAUAGGAAAAGGAGUCGAACGAGGUGAGUGAACGGGAGAAAUGGGGUAGAAAGGAGAAGGUGGACCAGGAAGGUGGUGGUGGAGAAAUCGAGCUUGGAGGAGAGAGUUUGCACGUGCCGUUACACGUGAACAAAAGAAAGCUUGAUUCACUUCCGCUGAGUUUUCACUUUUCACCGCCAUUAACAUUAACAAAAUAUUUUACCACGGGAAUUAAACAAGCUAUGGGCUCGAUUUUAUGACCAAUGAGUGGUUAAAUCUUAAAUUAUAAUAUUAAGAGAAGUUUACUAUUUAUUUAUAUAUGUGAUUUAUUGAAGGUAAUUUAAAAUUUUAUUAAUGAUAAAUUAAUCUUUUAUUAUGUUUAUUAUUGUAAAUUUUGAUAAAGUUUAAUUUUUUUUUUUUUUUACCAACAAGUGUCAAGAUAAAUGGUUUAAUAUUUUUUUUUCCUUGAAUAAGGUCGAGUGUUCAAACAUCAUAUUUCUUUAAAUUAAAUCAAGGAUUCGAUACUUAUAAAUAGACAAAAUAUUCAUUAAAGUGUUUUUAUCGCUUAGUGAGUAAAAUCGAGUAUUCAAAUAUCAUAUUUUUUUUUAAAUUAGAUCGAUGGUUCAAUCAUUAUGAAUGGAUUAAAUAUUCAUUAAAGUGUGAAAACCACUUAGUCGAGCGAUUCGACACAAGUAAAAUUUAGUCGUAAUAUAAUAAAUAAAAUCAUUUUAAUAAGAAAUACUUAUUAAAGUAUUUUACCACUCAGUUGGUGUACGGACACAAGUAAAAUUUAGUCAAAAUCUAGUAAAUAAAGUCAUUUUAAUAAGAAGUAUUUGCAACUCUUAACCUUGUAUUGUUUCAUAAUUACUGAGAUGACGUGUAAUACCAUAUGAUUCAACAUGAAUCUGUAUUUCUAUCAAAAAGGGAUUCUUUCCCCCAAUGCAAGUAAAGUAGAAUGAAAUAUUCCUUGUCAAAAUAUGAAGGAAAGGAAAAAAAAAAAAACCUCGGUAAAUAAAUAGCAAAUAUGAAUUUUUAAUAUGAUUUGGACAUUUGGUUGUCCAAGUGAUAUCGUUAGAAAAUGUAUUUGACUAUGAUAGAUUGUCCACUGCGGAUUGGGCCACAGGGUGGCUAGGAUGGACACUGAACGGAAGCAGACCUGGACUCGGGCUAAAAGUUUCGAGUCUAAGCCCAGUGGUGCACAAAAAUAUCUUAGCUUGAGCGCAAUUUUUUUGCUAGUGUAUUUUAUUUUAUAUGCUCGCAGAAUUGAUGAGCAUUUUUAUAGUCAAAAUAACUUGAAUCCGAAAUUUUCUUUCUAUAUUUUUAUAGAAGGUGAAAGACCAAACAAAUCACGUGUGAUUGACUUAUAAUAUAUUUUAAUUAUUUUCAUAUAUAUAUAUAUAUAAAGAUGAUAUUGUAUGUUAUAUCUUAUGUUACAAAAUACAGAUCACAUGAUUAAACUUUUUAAUACCAUAUGCAUAUAAAUUUUUAAGUUUCGUGUUGCUUUCUUACACAUUUCAUUAGAAAAGUAAUCUACUUUUGUAACAUUAAUCUUGCAGAAAAUAGAGGAAGGGAAAAAUGUGAGCAAAAGGAGCCCAAUUCCAACAACCUGCAAUAUCCACAAAGGAACUUACCCUUUUAUUCAUCUCUCCUUCUGGAAUAGGAAUGAGGGCGAGAUUAUUUAUUAGAUAACCAUCUCUUAUUGCAGGUUACAUGCAAUACAAUCAUAUUUAUAUUAUGAUUUUAAUGUAUAAAAAUAUUUUUUAUAUAUACGUGUUAUUAUUAAAAUUUGGGUUAUUUCAAUUUGGUUUUUAAUUAUUUAAAGGUUCGAUGUAGUUUUUAUAAAAUUGAAUUUGAUUCUAAAAAAAAUUGGUUAUUGUGAUUUUAGAAAAAUAAUUAUAUCCAACCAACCACGUGUUCCCUCCAAAAACAAAUAAACCAUAUUUCUCUUUGUUUUCCAUUUUGGUUUAACACUUGCAGCUGGCGGGAGUUCAAAAGCUAAAUCUUGGUAAUCUCCCAUAAAGAAUUUCUAAUACCUGCCGAAAGAAUGGUAAAAAAAAAAAAAAACUCUUAUGACCUUAAAAAUCUUGAUUUAUGACAAAUAUAUGGGUCACACACCAAGGAUAAUUUUCCAACUUUUUUAUAUAAAAUCCUAAUUAACGAUUUACACAGUUUUAUUAACGAGAAAUUACCAGGCUAAACAAGAAACAAUGAUUGCACAAAUGUCAAAAAAAAGAAACAAUGAUUGCACAUUAUAAAUAUUAAAAUACCAAAUGUGCAUUUUAAAGAUUAGGCAGCAAUAUCAUAACGAAUAUGCCUAAGAAGCACCGGAAUUACAAUAUCCGGUGAGCUCAAUUGGGGUAAAUGACCGUCGGACGACAUAACUUCAACUAUAGAUUCAGAGCCAAGAUUUUGAUGCAAAUACUCCGACACAACCACCGGCACAGCCAAGUCCUUGCCACUUUGGACAAUGUGACAAGGCACCGUGAUCAAGUGCAGAAUCUGCCUCAUGUCACUCUGGAAUAUGGUUCGUGCUACACUUAGAGCUAUAUCUGGUCUCAUAUUGAAGAGAGUGCGGCUAAAUUCUUGGACGGCAACUGAGUCCAUGUCACCGCCAACGGCCAGCGGAGCAAACCCUGAACACCACGCCUUGUAAUUGGAUUCCAUUGCUUCAAAUAGUUGGUUUAGAUCUUCUUGCUCAAAUCCUCCAUAGUAAUCCACAUCAUUCAAAUACCUGAUAAUUAUAAAUGUAGAUUAGUAAAACUAGACUUGAACUGUAUUAACAAAACUUUUAAAGUAGCUUUUAGAGUUUUGGCAAAUUAAAUUUUCUAAUAUUACUUAAUAAUAUAAUGUUGAAACUAAUUUUUAAAAUUUUAACUAAACAACUAAUAACUACCAAAAUAAUUAAUUUCAUUUAACAAACCCUUCCAAAGUCAUGAUUCAAAACAUUUAGAUAUCAUAUUAGGAUAGGUCUACCUAAAGCUAACGGUCAUGAUAUUAGAUUCGUUCGGUAAAAUUAACUUUUUUUUUUAGUAAUUAUUAGUUGCCUUAGUAGUAUUAAUUGUUCAUCAAACGAUAAAAAGGAGUGAUGUUUCAUUAUAUCUAUUCAAAAUUUAAAUAUUAAAUAUUAAUAUAAAAAUUAUGUCGCUGAACACUACAACUAAUGAAAAUAAUCAAAAUAUUAAAAACUACAUGAAAAAAUAUUUUGGAACAGCUUGUGAAUGCUGAAAUUUUCAAUUCAAUCAACAUAGUUUCAUUGAUUUUAAAAUGAUUUUCAUGGCAAAUGGCUAGUUUGGUAACCCACACACAAACACAAAGAUCCAAAAAGACACAUUAUUAAACAAUGUUUCAACUAGCCUUACCUUGUAUAAAAAAAAUAAUUUAUCUAUAUUCAAAUAUGAAAAGACAGGAAUGAAUAAUAAAAUAUAUUAGAACACAAAUCAAAGAUACCGCAAUAAUCAUAAACAACAAAGUAACUAAACAGUUAGCGAUGCGACUUCCAUUAAACAACAAAGAUAAACCGCUAUUUUUUACUAAUUUUUAACCACUUGAAAACAUUUUAUAAUGAUUUCUAUUUCUGCGCAAACUUUUAUGGUUGUCUUAAUCAGCUAAUCUGCUAAUCAACGUGGCCUGUAAAAGAUUAAUAAAAUAGUCAAAAAGAAGAGAGUUUAAUUAAUUAAUUUAAUUACCUUGGAGAACCAGAGAUCAUUACGAGUUUGGAGAAGAGAUCAGGGCGGCUAAUGGAAGCAAUAGCGCCAAUCAUUGCAGAAACAGAAUGACCGACAAAAAUACACGAUUCAACUUGUAAUUCCUCUAAAAUCGCUAGCAAAUCAUAAGCAUAGCCUUCGAGAGUUGAAUACCGAUCAAAAUCAAAGUAAUCUGGAUUUGUAGUACCAGCACCCAUAUUAUCAUACAAAAUGACUUUGAAAUCGUCGAGAAGAUGAGGAACAAGGUGUUUCCAAACAGAUUGAUCGGUGCCAAAUCCAUGAGCGAGAACUAAAACCUGCUCUCCUGCGCCUAUGAUUUUGACAUUAUGAGCUUCUUCUACUAUGCCCAUAUCUUUUUCUCCUGUUUUUGGCCUUUUUUUGUUGGGGAGGUUGGGGUUUGGGAGUUGAGCUUUGGGUUUAAAGGUGUGAAAUGGUGGACUUUUAUUUUUUUUUUGGAUUUUUUUUGUUUUUGUUUUUGGUGCUGUGGACAAGGGAAAAGGUGUAGACGGGGAAUAAUAACGACCGCAUGGGUGUGUGUGUGUUUCUUUUUUCUUUUUCCAAAUUUAAUGAUAAGAUAUUGGGCUUUGUUUAUGUAUGUGCUGGUACAGGCAAUAGGAUUUUUGUUCUUACAUCAACGGUGUAGAACCAUGUGAUCAACUUUUUGACGAAUUAGUGCAAGUGAGUGCAUUCAUAUGGAAUCAUCUAACAACUAAUAGAUAGAGGAGCAUUGGCAAGCCGACUUCGCAAAAUUUUUUUUAAGUAUUGAAUACGAGAAUAUUCAUAUUAAUAUAUAUAUAUUUUUACUGUUAGAGAAGGUAUUAGAACCUAAAUUUUAAUAGGUGUUGUUGCUAUGGUGAAAAAUAAAAGAAUUCGAAUUUGAAUUUUUUUCGCCCAUUAGAGUUUUUAUAAAAAAUUUUAUAGUUUUGAAUAUUUUAAUUUUACAAAUUAGAAUUUUUAACAUUUUAACUAAUUUUAAAUAUUAUUAUCAAGUGACAGGAAAUAAAUUGUUUGAUAAAUAAUUUUUAAAAAAUAUUUUUCUUAAAGAAUAUAUUUCAAAUAUAAACUAUUUUUCUGAAGUAUUUUACUUCGCCCGCCUUGUAAUUUUUAUCUUGGUUUUACUUGUAGAUAGAUUAAAAGCAUUUAGUUAAUAUAGUUAAAUAAAAAUUUUUGCUUUAUUUUUUUCUUGAUAUAUCGUUAUAUUAGUAUCCCAUUAAAAAAUUAAAUGAUGCAUAUUAAAUUGUUACUAAAAUCAAUUAGAUUGCAAUUAUCAAUUCAAUAAUAAACAUAAUCAACCAAUGUACAAGUGGAAUACUAAGGGUCUGAUAUAUUAAUUUUGUUUCUAUCAAUAUUUAAUUAAUUGUAAUUUAGUAGUUUGGGUAAUAUAUAUAUUAUCAAAAAUAAACAUAUUAAAUAAAGGUAAGUAGUUUAAGAAAAAUACAUAUAGUUUGACUUUUACCUAGAUUAAAAAAAAUAUAUAUAGUUAAACUAUUUUUUUUAGCUUUUUCCUAAAAUAUCCUUCUAUAAUAUUAAAUGAUAUUUAUAUAAUUAAGAAUAUAAAUGUAUAUUAAGAAAUUAAAUAAUAAAUCAUUUUUUUGAAAAUAUAAAUAAGAUAUUUUGGGAAAAGAAAAAAUGGGAAACAAUACGACAAUUUGAGGCGAAUGGGAGAAAGAAAAAACAGGCAGGACAAAGAAUUACGAAGGGAGGGAGUAAACCUAAGGAACAAAAUAUCCCAACUUGGAUUUAUAAUAAGUAUUCUAUGCAUCUAUGAUUGGAAGUAUAAUAUGCAUCUGUAAUUGGAAGAUCUCAAUACAAGUCAAUUAAAAUAUCAAUGAUUGAGGGAGUGACUGGCGAAGCAACGAGCAACAGAUGGUAAGGCUAUUUGGUAAAAUUAAAUAUUUUGAUAGGAUUAGAAAUAUUUAGCUGUUAGAGUAGACUGUUGUAUUUUAAUAAAUAGAAAUUAUGGAUAGUUGGUGAUGUAACUGAAUAUGUAUUUAUAAAUAUUAAAUUUUAAAAAUUAUUCUCCAAUGCACGAAGAAGAAAUCAAUUCAACGCAAGAAAAAAUUUUGAGCACAAAAAAAUAAGAAGGCAUAAAGAAAAAUAAAAAAAUGAAUAAAUAGGAAAAUAGAAUAAACAACUGAGUCAGACAAUUAUCUAACAGAUUACAUGAAAACAGAGAGCAUGGUAGAUAAUGUCUUUUUUUUUUCUUUUUAAUACAUCAGACUCACAGACUAUACAGAUAAUAACGUUAGAAAAUGUUUUCCUUUUUUUAACGUUCAAUUUUUUAGACGUAGCAAAUAAAUAAACGCAAUCAACAGUUGCAUUAGAGAUACUCUUAACUGUUUGAAUAAUUUUUAUAAAAUAUUAAAAAUUAAACAUUAUAUAAAUUAAUUUUUUAUAAAAUAUUAAUUUAAUCUCUAAAAAUUAAUUUAAAUAUUAUGUACUCCGAUACCCAAAAAAUAAUUUUAAGGUUUUAGAUUCAAAAAACUGUUUUCGACUACCAUUUUAGAUGAUUGACAGGAAGGGAAGCCAUCAAUGGACCCACCAUCCAUCAAUGCGGACUUAUCCAAACAGCCAGCUGCAUGAACCAACUCAUUUAGCAUUUUCACGUGCCAGUUUCUCUUCUUUAAGCAUAGGCACUUAGUGAACUAAAAUAUCAAACCUCUGUCUUUCAUCACCUCUAAUAUUUGGAUUUUCUGCUCCAAAUGUCCCUUUUCAUGCCAACUUGUACAGGUAUCUAUCCGGUCCCCCAAACAAGUGGUAUCUGAAUUUUUUUUUUCUUAUCUAUUAUAUUUAUGAUAAAAUGAGGAUAUUUUUUAUUUAUUUUAAUAUAUAUGUCUCUACGCUCGAAUCAAUAAUAAUAUUUAGAUAAAGUCUUUCUAUCAGUUAUAAUUCUAAGUUUUGAAUAUAAUCUAUUUCUGCUUAUCUAAUUUAACCACCUAUUAAUACAAAUAAAGAUAUUUUUUUAUCAAAUGUAAUUAUAUUCCAACCAUCCCUAUUAAUUUUGGAUUUUGGUGUUAGCCUCCAUCUAAGUAAUUCAUCAAGGGAUAUAAGCAUGGUGUGACAUUUUCAAUAUAUUAUUUAUAGUAUCUGGUAUGAAAUUUAAUAGAAUUAAUGAUUAAGGGUAUAAUAAAUUAUUAAUCACAGAUUUAAUUAGCACAAAUUAUUUUUAAUUGAUUAGGUUAUAGUUAAUUGCUUGGUGAUUUAAAUUAAUUAAACCUACACUUGUUCAUGUUGGGUUCGGGCUAGGUUGGGUCGGGCUAAAAUUUUAAGGUUCUUCUGUCCAGGCCUGGCCCAUACCCGGUUAAGCCUACAGGUAUCCAUCACAAACUUCAACGCUUACGUGUAACAACUAUUAAUUUCAAAACCCUCUAACAAAAUCAAGAAUUGAUUAUUUAUCUAUUACAUUAAUUCCUAUUUAUAUUAUUUUGAACUCGAUCAACUUCAUACAAAUAUUUGCUAAUAAAAUUAUUUUUUUCAAGUUAGUUUUUUUUUAUGAUAAUUUUAUUUAUAGUUAUUUAAAAAUAAUUUUAAAAUUUUAAUUAAUAUUUUUAUUUAUAUAAUACAUUAAAGUAAAAAAAAUAUAUAUUCACAUUAAAUUAAAAAAUAUAUCAUAGACUUUAAUAAGACAAUUAAGGGGUACAUUUAAAAAAAGUGAAGUGCAUGUUUUUAUAUGAGAACAAGCUAUUUCACGGUUGAAUUAAAAUUUGAACGGAGAUAAUUAGUUGAAUGUUAGAUAAAUUAAACUUUAGAUAACAAGCUCUUUUUUUUAUAUAUAUUUAAAAGAUAUUUUAAAUUUUUUAUAAAAAUAUAUAUUUUUCCAUAGAAAUAAAAUAAUGCAACAAUUACAUAACAUUUUGUUAGCCAAUGAAAUUUUUCCAAAUAAAAACCCCUUCUUUUACAAAAUAAUCAUUACCAUUUAUAAAAUAUGGAAAAAUUUACAUGUUAUUUUGUAUUGCUGCUAUUGAAAAAAAAAUUCACAUUUUACAUACACACAUAUAUAAUUUCUACAAAAUAAUGACAAAAGUUUUCUAACCUCUUAACUUUUACAAAUAAUAAAAAAAAUUUUACCUUUUACAAAGAAAACAAACAUAGAAAAAAAAUUUUCCUUUUACCUUUUACCUUUUACUUUCUUAACUAUCGAACGACAAUGUUAUUUCUACGAUUAAGAAUUUUUUUACAAUAUUCUCUACAAUUAAAUCAAACAUAAAAUUAUCGAUAAAAGAGGAAUGUAACUCAUAAACUAGAUGUUGACAAUCUGUGAAUAUAAUUUCCGACCCUUGCAUAUCCAGUUUAUGCACAUUAAUAAUUAAACUUAUAUAAAAACUCAUUUUUCAUAUAUAUUCAAUAUGUAUAUGUAUUAAUUUGAAACUACCUAAACACAAUUUAAAUGUUCGCUAAAAAAACAAUUUAAUAAAUACAAAUAUCAUUAUUUGUAAUUGAAAAUAUUAUUUAUCCCUUUUUUUUAAAUAAUAGAGAAGACAAACUAAAUACACUAUUUCGAAUAUAAGCAAUACUUUUUUUUUUUUUUUUUUUUUUUGGAAAUUUAAAAGCAAUAAUUGUAAUGUCAUGAUUAAGCCAUAGCCAAAAUACAACGAGGAGACUUCUCUAGAUAUGAAAACUCAGAAGAAAAGGAUUCCUUGUUUUUUUAAAAUAAAAUAACGUUAUGUCCAACUAUCAAGUUUGUAUUAACACAAGGUUUCCCAUAAAUAACAUAUAUUAAUUAUUCAUGAUAUAUUGCUUGUAUAUUCAUAGACUUUCUAUUUCUUUAUUUGACUUAUUUGCGACUAGAGAGUACCUUGACCCUUGAAAAAAAAAAAAAGUUGGAUACAUUUUUUUUUUCUACACUACACUAAUAAGUUGUAUGGGUUCAUCAAACUUUUAGGCUUUUAUAUUGUGUAUUUCAAAACUAAAAUUUUAUUAAUAUUCAAAAAUAUUUAAAUGGAAUAAAAACAUGAGCUUUUUUUUUUUUUUUUUUAAAUUUUUCAUUCACUAUUCAACAGCAAAAAACGAAGAAAAAACAUAAAAAAAUGGCAGAAAUAUAGCCUUAAAACAUUUAAAUUUUUUUUUUAUAUUAAAUAUCCAUGUUUUGUGGACACUUAAAUGUGCUCCGAAUAUGGAUGGUACAUACACUCAACCAAUCAAAAAGUAAUUUUUUUUAAAUGUUAAUUUUUUUUCCACAAAAAUUCUCUCAUUUGGACAAAAAAUUGUUUUUGAUUGGUUUGAUAUAUAGGUAGACUCACACAUGGAGUAGGAUAGAAAUGAAUUGGAUAAGAGACAAAAAUCUCAUAAAAAUUGUAAGGUGGGCUUAUUUGAACUUCAGCCAACUAAUGCUAAAAUUUUAGUACUAACUAAUUAGUUAGCUUGUUUCUCUUAUAUGUCCUUUGUGGGAUAUUUAGUCACUAUGAUACAACCGGGAAUCAUGAACUUGCUUUAAUACCAUAUUAGAAGUUAAAAGUGACUUGCUUUAAUACCAUAUUAGAAGUUAAAAGUUGAAAAAACAGAGAUAAGCUUAGUAGGAUUUAGGAGUUUAGAAUCCAUAAAAUUUUGUGAAGUAGGUUUACUUAGAUUUAAACUAACUAAAGUUAAAAGAUUAAUAUUAACCAAUUAGUUAGCUAGCUUGUCACUUUCAUCCGGGAUAUAAAGAAUUGAUAUUUAGUCAAAACAAAUUCUUAAUGGUAGGUAAAUGUUUCUCGCGUCUCAUUAUCUUAUGAGGAACUCUCUAGAUGCCAAAAAAAGACAGGCGUUGCAUAUUUUCUUCAAAGCGAAGCGAGUUUGAACGUGGCAAAUACCAUACCAAGAAAACCAGCCAUCAGGCUGCGGUUGCAACUUGCAACGCUCUCCGUCCCAAAAGAUAGAAUUACAAAGAGAACAAAUAGAAACAGGAUAGUGCUUGGCUUUUCAGUUUUGAGAGGGGACUUACAUCGACAACAAUAUAAUAUAGAGCAUUAACAAGAAGAAUAAGAAAAGCCAUCUUGACCAAACUUCAAGAAAUUGCACUGGCCUUUGGAAUUGUAAGAGGAAAUCUCUAAUUAAAUGCCAAAAUGCCAUUAUUGAGACCACUAACAGGAAAGUAUGUAGUAAUUUUGAAAUUGCAUGCAUGGGGAAUGGCCUUGUGAAGGAAAUUCAAAAUUUCUUGAUGCUAAUAAAAAAUCACGUACGAUGGAUUGUGGACCUCAGAUGUUGGACACAAAUUAAGUCUGCUGCAAAACAAUGCUUCCCGACAUAUAUUCUGAAAAAAUUCUAGUCUCUUGACCUACUUUGAGGAGUAGCGUUUCUUCAAAGACUCCAUGCCCAGACAGUAGAUACACUUUUGAGUUUCACAAACAGAGUUGGAAAUUAUUAAGGGUGAAAUUUGUAUAUACUGUUUCAUGGUUUUUUUUACCACAUGGCAAAUCAGUGAAGGAAUAAACUCAAGUUUCAUUGGGCAAUUUAUCGGAACCAAAAUAGUGUUGAAAGAAAAUAUUUACGAUUAUGGUAUUAUCUUGACUUUUUAAAUUCAUUUGUUACACAAUGUAUUAUUAUACUAUGACUACAAUUUAUUUAAAUUUUUUAAUAUUGGAACCAGUUUUUUCUCAACACACUCUCUCUUACGUUUAUAAUAUAACAAUACUAUUACACAUUUUAAAGACAUCGACACAGACUUUAAGAGUAAAGAUACAUGUUUGAUAAAAAUUGACAUUGUUACACUCACAGUGUAACAAUUUAUGCAUGUUUUCUAUUUUUCAAUGUCUAUUUUUAUACAUUGUUAAACAAUAUUAAGGAAAUAUUAUUUCCUUAUGAUAGAUUGUUACACUUUGAGUGCAAUAAUAGCAUGAAAAAUAGUUUGGUAUGUGAAUCUCAAUAAAUUUGAAUGUAUUAAUCUCAAUAAAACUAUUUAUAGAUUUCUUAUACUCACAAUGUAACAAUCUCAAAAAAAUAGUUUGAAGAAUCUUCUUUGUCCUUAAAGUAUGUGUACUUACAUUGUUAUAUUAUAAGUGUAGUGGUUGCAAAACUUCUUGCAUCCCGAUUGAAAAAUGCUAUGGCGUCAAUUAUUGGAGAAACAUAAUCAACUUUUGUAAUGAAAUAGUUCAUGAAUUGAAGCAGAAAAGGGCUAAAUUAGGUUUAUUAUUCAAAUCAGAUUUCAAAAAAGCAAAUGAUUCAGUCAACCAGAAUUUCCUUCUGGACAUGACGCAUAAGAUGCGUUUUGAGCAGAGAUGGAGGAAAUGGAUAGUUUGAGUGCCUCUUAGUUCCAGGCUUUCUGUCCUAAUCAAUAGUUAAAAAUAGAGGAUUUUAAAUGACAUAGACUUGAAACAACGAGACCCAAUUUCUCAUUCUCCUUUUCUAAUCGUUGUUGAAGGCCUUAAUCUUUUGAUUUGAAAUUUUGUCUUACAAGGUUCUAUUUCUUUUCAUGUCUUACAAACUUGUAAUGAUUUGUGUUGUUUCCAAAUAUGACCCCAAUUGAUAGAUUUAGAAAAUCUUAUAGGAGAAUUUAGGAACGAAAUGAGUAGUGAAAUGAGUUAUUAGAUUUGAAAAAAUUAGUUCAUGUUCCAUUACCGACACAUCAAUUAUAGAUUCAGAAAAUUGAUUCGUAACACCCUUGCAUGUAUAAAUCUGCAUGACAUAGAUGAAGAAAUGAUGAUAAAUAAUUAUAAUUGGAUGAGAGAGUAAUUAUAAUUAAAUGAAAUAUAUUAAUCUUUUGUACCUAAGUAUGGAGUUUGAUCCCUUUAUAUAGAAUGAGAAAGACUAUUCAUUAGAGCUACAGUUAUAAUCCUUGUUAAAUACAUACAGAUUUGGAAUACUGAAUGAAUGCGUAUUUUUGGAGUGAUUGACAGUUCAUUAAGUGUCCUAUAAAGAAAUUUAAAAGAUUCUACAUAUAAAAGUAUUGGCUUGUUUAACAUGUCAGCGGAAGUAUAUUAGGAAUAAGAUUCUCUUAAUCUAAUGCAAAUAUAUUUUUUGUCCAUAAAAUAUAAUUAGAUCCUGAUUAACUUACUAUUAAAAUUCCAUCACUUACCAAGAUUAGAAAAAGAGGAAGAAAAAGGUCUCAAGCUUAUAUUCCAAAUGAUGCUGCUACAAGCAAAUUAGAAAAGAAAGGGAAAAAGAAAAGAGAAAAAGAAGAAGACACUCAUUUGGUUAUAACACAGUCAUAGAGUGAAAUCAAGGCGAAGGUGCUUGAGAAUAACUGGGAUUACAAUAUCAGGCGCGCUCAAGUGUGGCAAGUGACCGCUGGUAGGCAUGACCUCGACGAUUGAUGGGUCGCCGAGAUGUUGAUUCAGAUAUUCAGACACCGCCGCUGGCACAGCCAUAUCCAUUUCACUCUGCAAUAUAUGGCAAGGGAGAGUGACCAUAGGUAGAAUAUGUCUCAAUUCUGUUAGAAAUUUAAGAUGGACUAAACUAAAAGCUAUAUCAGGUCUCAUGUUGAAUAGAGUUUGAGAGAAUUCUUGCACAGCUACCGAGUCCAUGUCGCCACCUAGUACCAUUGGUGCAAACCCUGAACACCAUGCUUUGUAGUUGGAACGCAGUCCUUCAAAUCCUCCAUUAUAAUUCUUGUCAUUCAAUAACCUAGUUUGAAACACCAAAUAAAAAGUUUCUAUUACACAUAUUAUAUAUGAUUUUGAUCAGUAUAACAGCAACUAGCAAAGUUUACCUUGGAGUAGCAGAGAGCAUAAUGAUUUUAGAGAAGAGAUCUGGGCGAGCAAUGGAGGCAUAAGCACCUGCCAGACUCAAAACAGAAUGACCAACAAAAAUACAAGACUUAACCUGUCAUUCAUCUAAUAUGGCCAGCAAAUCAAAGGCAAACCUUCAAUACUGGAGUAUCUUUCAAAGUCAAAAUAAUCAGGAUUAGUAGUACCAGUACCCAUAUUAUCAUAUAAAAUAACACGAUAGUAGUCUUCAAGAAGGUAAGGAACCAAGUAUUUCCAGACAGAUUGAUCACUGCCAAAGCCAUGAGAAAGGAUAACAAGUUGCUCCCCUUUCCGCACAACCUUUACAUUAUGUGCUUCUACAAUUCCCAUUUUUUGGUUUAACACUCUAAUUGUUAGUGAAAAGUUAGUAUUUAUAUUGGUUUCAGGUGCAUGGGUGCAUAGAUAAACAUGAAGCAACUAGGGCUACGUAUUACAUUCCAGAAUCACACGUGGAGCGAAGAGGUAUGUUGGGAAGAUCUAAUCAACUAGGGCUACCACUAGCAGUGUUCUUGUUGCAUUGUGUUUGAGUUGUGUUAUAUGUAUAUGCGGUAUUUAAUAUAGUAUUUGCAUUGGCUGUGUCCAAAGUGAAGAGACAAGUUGGUAUUUCAAGCGGCUAAGAUGGCAUUUUCCGCAUGUAAUAAAAAUACGUGUGAAGCUAGUAAUUACUUCUCUUUUGUUUCGUCGUUGGCAUACUGGUCAAGAGUGGUCGGGUCAAUGUCCUUUGUGCUCUGCAGCUUUGCUAGGUGUCGCUGCAUACAUUUUUUAUUUGCAAGCUAGCUUUACUUGCAAUUGAAGGAUAUUUCAAACCUGAAGUCUCUAUUAUUGAAAAGUGUUUACCAUAAUUUUACAUUCAGUCUGACGUAGAAAUAUGUAUGUAAAAAAGAAAGUAUCUAUUUUAUAUUUUACUAAAUUUAUAUAUGAAACUGGCCUUUCUGACCAUUAUAUGUCUCACUCCAUUUAGUACAACCUAUACAUAUAUUUAAUAAAACAUCAUCUACUCAAUUACAAAGAUAUAAUUAAUAAAAUGUUUAGCGGUCUAAUUGUUUAUUCGGUAAAAUUAACUAUUUUGAUAGUUGUUGUUUUAGUAGCUAGUAACUGUUUAAAUAGCUUUUUAUAAAAGACUAAAAAGCUAAAUGUUAGAUGAGUUAAUUUUUUAUAAAACGCUACCUUUAACUUCUAAAAGUCAAUUCAAAUGCAAUGUUAAAACUACGUAAAAUAGCAAAACUACUUAAAGAGCUUUUUGCCGAGCAUUCCCUAAACAUCAAUUACAUUUUUGCUAUCCAAUUAUAUUUUAAUUUUAUACUUCUAACGAACAAAAUACACUUAUUGUGUAUGUUAUUGAGUUAUAUCAAGGCGAAGGUGCUUGACAAUUACUGCAACUACAACCUCCGGCGAACUCAAUUGCGGCAAGUGACCGUUGGUAGGCAUGAGCUCAACGAUUGAUGGGCCGCCGAGAGUUUGAUGUAGAUAUUCAGACACCUCCACCGGUACAACCUUGUCCAUUUUACCUUGCAGAAUAUGACAAGGGACCUUAACCAUAGUUAAAAGAUGUCUAAUGUCUGAAGAAAAUUUAACAUGAGCUAAACUUAGGCUUAUGUCAGGUCUCAUAUUGAAUAGAGUUCGACAGAAUUCUUGUACAUGUACAGAGUCCAUGUCGCCACCGACCACCAUUGGCGCGAAUCCUGAACACCAUGCUUUAUAAUUAGAACUCAUUGCUUCGAACAUUUGGUUCAUCUCUUCUUGCUCAAAUCCUCCGUUAUAAUUCUUGUCAUUCAAUAAUCUAGUUUAAAACAAACAAAAAGUUAUUAUUUCUGCAAAGAUACAUAAAAAAGAUGGAAAAUGUUUCUUGUAGAUGUUUAUAUUAACAAUGUUGUAAAUGGAAAUAUGAAAAUGGAAAAUUUUCGUACGUUUUUUUGGGUACACUAUCAGUAUUGAUUUCAUUUCAUUUUACACUACUUAUAUUUUAAAAGUGAAAAAAAUCCUAAUUGUAUUGAUUUUUUAUAUUGAUAAUAUAGUUAAAUCAUUAUAUAUGUAAUAAAAAAAAUAAACAAAUAAUUUCUAAUUAUUUUUUUAUCAGCAAAACUUAUAUUUUUUUUAAUUAAUAAUUUUAGGAAAACAAACUUAACAAAUCUUAGCAGCUAAAACCAAACCAACAGAGCUCCCAAUACACCCAACCUAGCCAAAUAGAGCUUCCAAUACACCCAACUUAGCUAAAAAAUGUUUAAGUUAAAAAUUCUAGCUAGACUGAAAUACAUGAAAUUGAAAGGAAUUAAACUGAUAGAAAGAAAAAUUCUUGAAUUAAAAAACUUAAGCUUUCCUAUCAAAUUAGAAAACCAGCUAACAUGAUUGUUCCAAGAAACAGAUAAGCAAAGAGAACCAACUGUCCUUAAACUAUUUUAACUGCUCAUGUAUCAAAUAUAAUAUUUCUAAAUCUAUAAAUGUAAAAUCCACUAAAUAUGAAUAUAAUUUGAUAUUUAAAGGACAUUUAAAUUUAAAUUUUUAUUAUUAAUUUUUUAAAAAAGAAUGAAAGAACUUUUUAUUUGCAGCUCCAUCCUUAUUAGCGAUUGAGGUGUUAUUGCUACAAAAUAUUGAAAUUGGAAAAACUGACAAAAAAAAGUCAAAGACCGUGUUCAACAACUGUUUUUUUAGUAGUUUUUUGCGUUUUGACUAAAUGCUAUAUUUUAUAAUAUUCGGUGACAUAUCGUUUAAAUUAAUUUUAAAAGUUAAGGUAGCUUUUUAUAAAAGAUUAAAGGUCUUUUCGACAAAAUUAGUUAUUUUAGUAGCUGUUAGCUGUUUAAAUAGCUUUUUAUAAAACACCAAAAAACUAAAUGGAAAUGUUACAUAGGUUAACUUUUUUAUAAAACGGUAUCUUAACCUUUAUAAACUAAUUCAAACGCUAUAUUAUCCAACACUAUAAAGAAUAGUGUUCAAUGGUUUGACCAGUCAAAACACUAAAAACUACUUGAAAAGCUAUUACUCAACAUAGCAUAACCCUUGCAAAAUUGGAAGUAUUUUAAUACACUAUGCUUAUAUAUAUAUAUAUAUAUAUAUAUAUAUAUAUAUAUAUAUAUAUAUAUAUAUAUAUAUAUAUAUAUAUAUAUAUAUAUAUAUAUAUAUAUAUAUAUAUCAAACCUUUAACUUGAACAUUUGUUAAACUGAAACAUAGGUCAUGGGUAAAAAGAAAAUAAAAAUUCUAUAAUAAAACUAUAUAAAAGUAGAUAUUUUACCUAGGAGUAGGCGAGAGCAUGAUGAGUUUAGAGAAGAGAUCUGGGUGAGAAAUGGACGCAAUGACGCCUACCAUGCUAAAAAAUGAGUGAGAAACAAAAAUACAAGAUCUAAUCUUUAGUUCAUCCAAUAUGGCAAGCAAAUCAUAAACAAAACCUUCGAUACUGGAAUAUCUUUCGAAGUCAAAAUAAUCAGGAUUAGUAGUACCAGAACCCAUAUUAUCAUAUAAAAUUACUCGAUAAUCUUCAACAAGGUGAGGCACUAAAUAUUUCCAGAUAGAUUGAUCAGUUCCACAACAGUGACUUAGGACAACAACUUGCUCUCCUUUCCCCACAAUCCUUACAUUAUGUGCUUCUAUAAUUCCCAUUUUUGGUUCAAUACUCUAGUUGUAAGAAUUUAAUAUUUAUAUUGGUUUCAGGUGGAUGGAUAAACAUGAAGCAAACUGCAGCUACGUAUUACAUUUCAGAAUCACACGUGGAGCCGAGAGGUACGUUGGGAAGAAACGCAAGUCAUCAGUUUCGGAUCUAAUCUAUAUGUAUAUGCAAUGCAAACCAGGUUGAUAAGCAAUGUUGUUGUUGCAUGGAUUAUACUCCCUUCUCAUUUAAAUAUGAAUCGUUUUAAAAUGGUUUUUUUUUUUUUAAUUAAAAUGAUUGUUUUGUUUAAAAAUAUACGUCACUUUGAGCAUUUUAAAUAGUGACUCGUGAUCUUUUUCCUAUUUUAUCAUUAUUAUUAUAUAAUUAUUUUCAUAAAUUAAUUUUUAUUUGAGAUAAAGAGUAAUUUGGUCAAAUUAUCUUUAAUUUUGUUAUAAUUUAAAAAAAAUUAGUUUUUUCUUUAUCUCCCGUGCAAAAACCUCAAACGAUUUAUAUUUUAUGAGCUAGUGAAUAUUUAUCUAAAUUAGCUCAAAUCAAUAUUAAAAUUUUUUUAGAAAUACAUAAUAAAAAUUUACUUUUAUAUUAAUUUGAUCUAUGAUAGGUCCACUCUAAAUAAAUCAAUCCAUUGCCUCAUUGUUUUUGAUAUAUAUAUAUAGGUAUUUAAUAGAGUAUUUGCAUUUGCUUUGUCCGUAGUGCAGAGACGAGUUGGUACGGCUAAGAUGGCAGUUUCUGCAUGUAAUAAAAAUACGUGUCCGGUAAUUACAAAAUGUGGCUCAGUUGUCAAUGCAAGUUGGGUAUGUGAGAAAAACUCUCUCAAAUUCUAUUUUUACUGAACGUAUCUGCAAAGAAAAAUAAAAAAUUAACUGUGAUUAAAUCUCGAGCCGAAUUUAAUAAGUCUCUAAUCCGGAUGCUAGUUAUUAAAAAAAAAAAAAACGUGUGCGGUGCUAAUUAUUUCACUUUUGUUUCGUCGUAGGUAUACUGGUCAAGCGUGGUCGCGGUCAGGGUGCUCUGCAGCUCUGCAGGUGUCCUUUGGACGCACGCUUUUUUUUUUUUUUUUUUUUUUUUUUUUUUUUUUUUUUGCGUCGUUAACAUUCCCAAACCCACUGGUUGAGAAGCAAAGCACACUUUAAUAUUGUUUUAGUGUAUGUAGUUUAGAGUGCAUGCUUUAGAAGUUAGCUAUAAUUUUGAUAAUCACGAAUAAUUAUAUUUAUUUUUAUCAGAAAUUAUGAAUUUAAAAUUAUGAAUUUAAAAAGUGUAUAAUAAAAUUUAUAUCAAUAGUUUGCAUAAUUUAUAAAUAUAAAUAAAAAAAAAUUAAUAUCCUUCGAUUCUAUAUAAAUAAACUUCCCAUUUUGAAUAUUCCAUUUAAAUUAAUAAAAUUAUUCAAUUUAGACUAUAGCUAAAGUGUAAAGUUUAAAUUGUUUUGUUAAUAGCAUUAAAUUUUUAGAAAAAUAAGAAAGUGAAUGGAGACGAACUUACUUAGCUUAUUUGAGCUUCACCAACCAAUAUUAGAUGAUUAGCUUUAACCAAUUAGUUAGCUUAUAUAUUCUUUGAAGAUCUGAUAUUCAGUGAAAUAAGGAUUAUUAAUGGUAGUUAAAACGUUCCCUCAUCUCAUUAUCUUACGAGGAACUCUCUAGAAGCCAAAAAACGACAGGCAUCGCAUAUUUCUUCUAAGCGAAGCGAGUUUGAAUGUGGCAAUACCGAGAAAUUCAGCCAGCAGGCUGCGCGCUGUUGCAACUUCCAAUGCUUUUCGUCCCACAAAAUAGAUUUACAAAGAGAAUAAAUACAAAAUGAAUAGUGCUUGGCUUUUCAGUUUUGAGAGGGGACUUACAAGUUACAACGACAGCAAUAUAAUAUAGCAUUAAAAAGAAGAAUGAAAAAAGUCAUCUUGACCAAGCUUCAAGAACUUGCAUCUGAAGGCAAAAUGCCAAAAUGCCAUCGCUGAAUUGUACGAGGAAAUCUCUAAAUGCCAAAAUGCUAUCGCUGAAUUGAACCUGAAGGCAGAGAUAAGUUUCCUAUCAGAUUGUUAAAUCGCUGACAUGAAACUAUUAAUUCUGAAAUUGUAUGCUGAUAAAAAUUAAUCCAAUGGCUUUGUGAAGGUUGAUAAAAGAUUUCUUGAUGCUGAUAAAAAUUCACAUAUGAGGCCUAAAGGUUGAUGGGUUAUAGAUCUCAGAUUAAGUCUGCUGCAAAACAAUGUUUCUCAGACAUAUAUUCUGAAAAUUCUAGUCCUUGACCUACUUUGAGGAGUACUAAAUCAAAGCUGCUGUAUGGAGCUGCGUUUCUCAAAAGGAUCUAUGCCCAGACAGCAGGUAUACUUUUGAGUUUCACAAACAGAGUUGGAAACUUUAAGGGUGAUCUUUGUAUAUACUGUGUCUGAUUUUUCCCACUGCCAAAUCAGCAAAGGAAUAAACUCAAGUUAUAUUGGGCAAUUUCUCAUAAUCAAAACAGUGUUGAAAGUGUUAUCUUGACUUUUUAAAUGCAUUUGUUAUCCGAUGUAUUGUUAUACUAUCAAUAUCAUUGAUUUAAAUUCUUUUUAAAUCUAGAAAUAGUUUUUUCUUGACACACUCUCUCUACGCACAUUUUAAGAACACAAAUAACGAUGUAUCGUUAUACUAUCACUAUCAUUGAUUUAAAUUCUUUUUAAAUCUAGAAAUAGUUUUUUCUUAACACACUCUCUCAACACACAUUUUAAGGACACAAAUACCAACUUUAAGUACAAAGACACGCGUUUCACAUAAAUUGAUACUCUUACAUUUGGUUUAAUGCAUUAUAUGAGUUUGAACUUUGUAUGGUAUUGUGAUAUGACUCUAUUUUAACUUUUAUGUUAAUUUUACCCUGAACUUUAAUGUUAUGUUGUAAUAGCACUCUAAAUUGCAUUUAAUAUUUAAUUUGCAAAUAAAAGCACAUUAAUGUGGAGCCUACUCUUAACCUUGACUUAACUUAAUUCAAGCUUCUUUACGCACACAAAUUUAUCAAGUUUAAUUGUUGUCUUGAAUAAAUAUUUUUUUUUUCUUUCUACAAGCUAAAUUAUAAUUGAUUAUGAUAUCUUAUACUUUAUUUUUAACAAGAAAAUUAUUAAAAUUUCCAAUAGUCAAAUAAUCUUAUAGUAGUUCAAUUUUUUUCAAGCUUUGUUUUUUAAAUUUUAUAAUAUUUCAAAAUUUACAUUAAAAGCCAAACGAUAAUAAUAAUAAUAAUAAUAAUAAUAAUAAUAAAUUUUUUAUUUACAAAGUACUCUAAAUUUUUAAAAAUAAUAUCCAUAUAUCAAAUAAUGCAUUUCUAUUUAUUACUUAUUAUAAAUUAAAGAAAUAAUUUAAAAAAUAUUAAAAAUAAUAAUAGAGAUUUUCCUUACUAUUAACUCAUUCUUCUCACUUACACAAAUGUAUUAAGUUAAUCCAAGCCGAGAGUCAUGAGUGAAGCCAUAAUAAUUUAUUUUUUAUUUGUUAUUUAAGUCCUAAUUGUAAUUUAUGGUGCUAUUGCAACAAAAGGUAAAAGUUCAGAAUUGGUGAAAUUGAUAAGAAAUUCAAAUAUUGCAUUAAAUUUGAUUGAAUUAUCAACACAAUAAUAUUAACUCUCUCUUUUCAUUUUCAGUCAAAUUGCAGGCAAUUUUCAAGUUUUUGUGUGUUGUUUAUUAUUGCCCCAUCUGCAUUUAAAUCUUCUAACUGUGCCACAUUUUUAUUAUAUGACUACAUAUUUCUCGUGAUCAUAUCAUCGUGUUUAAGUAAAAUAAAAAAAUUACGUGCAUAUUAUAAUGUAUAUCCCAUUCGUUAAGAAUGGAAAAGUCAUUAUGAAUCCGGUUUCACAUUAUAUAAGAAUUUUUUAACACAAACUCCUCGUCUACAAAAAAAAAAAUGAGCAAGUGUUAUAAAAGUCGAACAUUAAAAAUUUUUUUAACAAAUUUUUCUGAAUACUAUUUUCCAAUGGCAUCGCUUUGCCGUAAACAAAAAAAAAAAAACUGCAGCCAUAAAAUUCCUCCAUUUUUAGAAUUAGAGAUUUCAGUUUCAAAACUCUUGAGUGACCGUGCCUCCCCAAAAUUCAUUUUCUCCACCAUUUCAUUCAAUACAAACCUAACUAUAUAUUUAAUACAAUAUCAGCAAACACAUUUUACCAUCUAAUAUUUCAAUUUAUACUUCUAAAAAACAAAACAGACUUAUUAUGUGUCUUAUUGGGUUAUAUCAAGGUAAAGGUGCCUGAGAAUAACUGGAAUCACAACCUCUAACGAAAUGCGGCAAGUGACCAUCAAUAGGCAUGACCUCAAUGAUUGAUGGACCGCCAAAACUUUGAUGUAGAUGUUCCGACGCCUCCAGUGGUGCAGCAUUUUCCAUUUUACUUUUGUAUUAUAUGAAAAGGGACAUAGACCAUAGGUUAAAUAUGUCUAGAGUCUGAUAAAAAUUUAACAGAGGCUUACAGUGAACAGAGUUCGACAGAAUUCUUGUACACCUACAAAGUUCAUGCCGCCAACUACCACCAUUGGCGUGAACACCCAGCACCAUGCUUUAUGAUUAGAACUCAUUCCUUCGAACAUUUGGUUUAUCUCUUUUUAGUCAAUUCCUCCCUUAUAAUUUUUAUCAUUCAAUGGCCUAGUUUGAAACAACAAAAAGAAAUUAUUUCUGUAAGGGUACACAUAUUAAAACAAAAAAAAAAAAAAAAAAGAGGACGGCAUAUGUUUUCUAUAAAUGUUUAUAUUAACAAACAAUGUUGUAGUAAAUAGAAAUAGUGGAAAUCUACACUUAUUUUUUUAACUAUUUAGCAUCUAAAAACUUACUAGUUGGACUAAUCGGAGUAUGUGCCAGACAAGCUCAUGAAGAAGGUAAAGCACUCCGUCCGAGUGUUUAAAGGAACACCAUAUUUAGAACUUGAACAGAGAAUGAAUUUCUAUCAUCUUAUCUCAUCCAUAGAGGAUUAGUUUUCCACUCUUUUUCGAUAUACUACUAGUAUUAACUUAAUUUUGAGAUUUAUAAAGCGACUUCGAUAAGUGGUUUGUAUAUAUAUUGAACUUUAACUUUACAGAAGUGACUGCCCAAACCGACACUAUUCAAUUUGGUUGGUCUGCUCACAACAAGUUUAGUUGUUGAUUUAUUUCAGUUCAAACUAAAAUUUCAAGGCAGUUUUGUUCGAUAAUGUCGAAUCUAAUCGAUUAAGCUGAACACUGAAUUGACUUUAUCAAAAUUUGAAGAAAUCAACUGAAUUCAUCCGAUUUGAUUCGAUUUUAAAAUAGGAAGUUCAGUUUACCCUUCCUAAUCUCGGUUCAGUUAGGUUUUAAACUGAAAUGGUGGUUUGAUUACCCCUAUAUAUGCUUGUGGACAAUUAAACAAGUAAGGCUAUUCUUUUUUUAUUUCACGAGAAUUUUUCUAUAUUUUCUUAUAUAUCGGACCAAUAUCAUUUCAGAAUUUAUAGUAGUUCAUCCAUAUAAUUAUUUUUUCCAGGGACUGAAUCUUUAAAUAAGUAAAUUAAGAUAUUGAGGGAUGCUAAUCUCAAUAAUUAUAAAUUACAUUAAAGCAUACUAUUAGGAAAAGGGAUUGGAAAGGUCAUGAAACCUCAGCCUUAGCCACUAAGGGUUCAUUGGACAUUCUCGACCUGGUUCAAAACUUGUUCCUGACGAUGACACAUGCUCAUAACUAAAAACUAGUAAGCAAAAUUAAAAUCUUAAAAAGAAGAUAUAUACCUGUUUUACGAGACUAGUUGUAUGUAUGCAGAAGCUUUUGAGAAAGUAUUUUAAAUUUUUGUCGUAGGAGCAUGCACGUUGGCAUUUCGCAGGCGGUAGGGGCAACGCAAAAGAGUUGUGUUUGCCGCAACCAUAAAAUGGCAUUUCACAUCAUAAACGGCUUUUGCUAUCAUAUCGUUUUACGUACAAAAAAAAAAAAAAAAAACUAUUUUGGUCCAUUACACACUAUUACUUAUACAUUAUUAAAACUAUUAUCUUCCUUCCAUAAUAUUUGUCAUAUUUUUUAGAAAAUAAUUUAUUCCAAAAUAUUUAUUACAUUUGUGAUUUGAAAAAAUGAUAAAUAUUUUUUUUACACGUUUACUCUUUAUAAAUAACCAAUAAUUAUUAUUUCAAUUUAAUAGUUUUCUUAAAAAACAUGAAAUACCAAAUAUGAUAAGUAUUAUUGGAACAAAAAUAUCAGAAUUUAUUAUAUAUAUAUAUAUAUAUAUAUAAUUUACGAUAUCUAUUGUUAUGUUGUAAAUACAAUGUAAUUACCAUUAAACUAUGUUUUUGUGUGCAAUUUGACCACAAACUUAAUUAUAAAAAUUAGUAAAUUAAAUUAUAUUAUUAUCGAGAACUACUGAAAAAUAAAAUAAUUUUACGAAAUACAGCCUAAAAAUAACUCCACGAUGAUAUUAUUCAUUAGCUUCAUCUUCUCCACGAUCAUAUAAUUUUUAUAUUUAUAAUUCUGUUUGCAAUGCAUCUGUUUUCCCAAAUUAAGAUUUUUCAGUAAUUUAAUUCUCUCCUCGAUAACCUCAUACAUUAUUUGAAUUUGAAACAAUUAAGCACUCGAAGAUCACUAUAGACUGUAUGAGGAGUGCUAGUUGCAGCGGCUCUUUAGAGUAACUGUUUAACUCUUUGGAAAAAGCCAUUCACACCACACAUCAACCCGAAACAUUUGGCAUUUUUGAUAUUGAAGCAGUAUGUUUGAUAUUGAAGUUAAAAAAAGAAGAAGCAAUGCAACAAUUUUUAAACCAACAUCACUUGUUAAUCAGAUAACGUAGCUAAUGUGCUUGACAAUGACCGGAAUUACAAUAUCCGGCGAGCUCAGUUGCGGCAAGUGACCACAGGUAGAUAUCAAUUCAACAAUAGAUGGGCCACCGAAAUUUUGAUGCAGAUAUUCAGAUACCGCUAUUGGCACUGCCAUGUCUUUCGUACUUUGCAGAAUAUGACAUGGGACAGUGACAGAAGGCAAAACAUGUCUCAUAUCUGUCAAGAAUAUAACUUGGGCUAAACUCAAAGCUAUAUCGGGUCUCAUGUUGAAUAGAGUUCUUGAAAAUUCUUGCACGGCCACAGAUUCCAUGUCGCCACCUACCACCAUUGGUGCAAAUCCUGAACACCAUGCUUUGUAAUUGGACUUCACUCCUUCAAAGAUUUGUUCUAUGUCUUCUUGCUCAAACCCUCCGUAGUAAUCCUCAUCAUUCAGUAGCCUAAUUUUAAUCAACAAAAUUGAAAGUUAAAUGACCAGAUUAUUAGAAUGAUAAUAAAAAAUCGCAUCAUAUAUACAAUUAAGUUAACGAAAGAUCAUACCUUGGAGUGGCGGAGAGGAGGAUGAGUUUAGAGAAAAGAUCAGGGCGAGAAACAGAGGCAAUGGCGCCAACCAUACCAGAAAAGGAGUGGCCAACAAAAAUACAUGAUUUGAUUUGUAAUUCUUCUAAUAUAGCAAGCAAAUCAUAAACGAAACCUUCAAUAAUUGAGUAUCUUUCAAAAUCAAAAUAGUCGGGAUUAGUAGUACCAGCACCCAUAUUAUCGUAUAAAACCACUACAUAAUCAUCAAGAAGAUGUGGCACUAAGAACUUCCAGACAGAUUGAUCGGUGCCAAAGCCAUGAGCUAGGACUAUAACUUCCUCGCCUGAACCAAGCACCUUGACGUUAUGUGCUUCUUCCACUAUUCCCAUAUUUCCUUACCUUGGUGCUCGUGUAUGUGUAGCGUAUGGGUUUUGGAGUUAUCCAUUUAAAGAUUAACGUCGGGGGACUUCGUUCAAGAAUCACGAGAUAGAUACCGCAUUUCCAUAUUAAAGAGUAAAGUCGAGUCAAAGUUGCAUUGGAUUUCGUCAAUAUAUAGCAAUAAGGCCCUGUUUGGUUUACUAUAGUUUGCCCCAUAUUUUAGGAAUAAGGGACAACGGGUCAAAUGUGUAUUUAUAUCCGCAUACUUAACGGGGAAAACUUUCUUUACGUCUCAAAUUUAAAUUUUACAUUUUACGGGUGACCUAUUACGACCCAGUUACAAACUUUGCUAAUAUUGUAUCCAUUUAUACUAGCGAUAACAUUUUUUUAGUGUUUUGACAUUUACGUGCAAAAUAUUCACUUAACGUAUAGUUAAUAUAAUCUUUGAAAUAAUAAUUUUUACAUUUUUCAACUAUUUAAUAAAUGUUUAAUUAACCUAAUUUUAGAAAUUUAAGUGUCCAAUAAAAUAAUUUUUACAAAUUGAAGUAAUUAAUUAGUAUAAUUUUAUAAAUUAAAAUGUUUAUUAAAUUAAAGUAAAAAAAUUGAAGGUGUCACAAUAUUUUUACGUAAACUAAAUGGAUAAAUUUAUGCAUUGAAUCGGACACAAUGGUAUAUUAUUUUAAAUUGAAAUAAAUGAAAUCAUACAGAUUUUAUAUGAGAUGAACUCUUUUCAAUUGGCAACAACUUUUUUUACAGCAUCACUGAAAAAGCUGUGUAGUUUGGAGUUUGAGAGCAAAUUAUCAAAAAGUUACUCUGUUUCACAACUAAGUCAAUGUUUUUGGAUCUUUUGGUUCAUUUAAUACACAUAUUAUACAUACAGGUAUACAGGUGCAUGUACAUGCGUGUAUGUGCCUAUUCAGGUUGAGAGGAUCUAGAGAGAGAAAAUGCCGCUUUAGCAUAUAACAUUUCACAAUUUUUUCAAUUCAAGUGCGAUCAGUCUUAAAAAUUUCCUAUAUAUAUAUAUUUACUGUAUAUAUAUAUAUAUAUGAUAAACAAAGAGCCAAAAAAUAGUUUACAAUGACUCUUCAAAACAAAACUGAGAAGUAAGCAACAACUUCAAUCUAGCUUCUAUUGUAAGCAAUCUAUCUAGUAUCUAUAUACAAACCCCUUGUAUGGUUAUUACUUCAAGCCAAUCCUGCUCUUCAAAGAGAGGUAUUAUAUAUGCAUUCGUAAUUUAUUAUCUCUAUUCACAAGAUAGCAGCACACAUAACAAUUACCUGCAGUCUUGUGCAGAGAAAAGCGGAUGCUAACAUUGCACUUCAUCAGCAUCUAGCGAGAAGAUAUCGACAGGGGUUCUUGUGCAGUCGACAGCAUUUUGAUCUUUGAAUCUACAAUUGGAAGAACCUAUCGGAUGAUCUAGGUAUAUUACAAUGACUGUAAUAUCAUCAUGGAAAUGACGCCUCACUCCUUUUUCAACUUUUCUUAUGUCGUCGUAUCUCAUUUCCCUUUUCCUUGCAGCUUCCUGCAGGGCUGCCCUCACUAAUCGCCUUGCAACUCCCUACAAAAGCAAAUACUUGUUCAUUUCUUGUCUGAAACGGCAAAUUAUCAGUUUGUUAUGGAAAUAAAUUAUGAUGAUCGAGUUCUUACAGCUCGAGGACUCUUCAAAACUAUAUCUACAGCUGUUUCAUCAGUCAAUUGCUCCCAAAGACCAUCUGAAGCAAAUAUCAAGAAUAGGUCUUGCGGCCUUAAAGGACGAACCAAUAUUGAAGGUUCUGCUGUUACCACUGGCCUUUUUAAUGGAAAAGGCAAUCCAAAUUGCUGAAAAAGAGCACCUCUAUUGAACUCCGGUUUCUUUAGAUAGACAUCUCCUAUUGAUCUUGAAACCUACAAGAAUAAGAAAAUUUCAAAAAUAAAUUCCAAGCAUCACAUGCUUUAGAUUACGACCACAAAAGUAGUGAAGUCAUAGACUUUAGGCAACAAGAAUAAGAGCAUUUUGGCAGUUCUGAAUUUAUUUUAGAUAACAGAUACCAGGUGACUAGUAAAUGUUCGUAGAAAGUUACAGAAGCAGAAAUCUCCAGUCAUGUAGAUAACAUACACAAGUUGCGGUCUACAAGUAUCCUGUUUACUUAUGUCUAUCUGUUGCAAAACAGAACUUCUUAUGUCAUAGCAGAAUGAGUGCCGAUAAAGGAUUAAGCUUUCUAAUACUAAAUUUUAGUUUCUUGAAGUUUCUAAAGCAAAAUAAAUUCCAAAGAAAAACAAAUCAUAAUGUUGCAGGAGUGGAAACUGAAGAAAGGAUCAAGAAUAGCAAAGCUGCAAAUGGACAGAGCAAAAAUAAAGUUAAAAUCUCCGGUGGUUCAAGAACUCAAUAUUUCUGUGUAAUUUUCUCAGUUAUGUACCUUGCUUCUAAAUGCGAACUUGAGAGAUUAAAAGAGUACAAUUGAGAAAAGAAGAAAAAGCAGAGGAGAGAGCAAGGAUUGGACGAAUAUUAGCCAGACAACAAACACAUACUGAAUUGCUGAAAAAAGAAGGUAAUACUCAUUAAAUAUUGAACACUAAUAUACAGUCACAGAAGUAAAAGAAGCAACAAAACAAUAACAGUAUAAAUAUUACCUGAAUUAUGCCCUUUAUACGCCAAACUCCACGGGUAUAAACCACAAUGUGGGAAUCAUCAGGAUGAAGUGCAGCCACCUCAUUCCUCACCUCCUCAACACAAACGUUGUGAUCGGUAGAUAAACGUUCGGCCACCACUGAACUAGUCUUGCCUUGAGAUACUCUCUUGCCAAGCACUGCUCUUGAGUCUCCAAGAUUUGCCACAUAUAAAACGCCAUUAGAUAUUGCCCCAACAAGACAACAAGAACCUACUGAAGCAAUCUGUGGCUGAACUGUCCAUGAUUGCUUUACCAAAUGCAAGAAUUCCUCUUCUAUUGCAUCAAAUGCCUUCCUUAUCACUUCCGCUGAUGCUCCACCCUGCUCUGCUGCAAGGUCUGAUACCGAAAGCCAUCCAUCAUGUUAGACAGGAAAAAAGAAGUGCCCCAGAAUUUCUCAGUAAUUAUACAAAACAUGCCAAUGCUAUAUUACUAAACCUAGUUUUACAUUUUACUCUAUUUCUUUUAUUUUCCUACACUUCCUCAGCUAGCAAAUAUUCCUAUUCAAAAACUUCGCCAGUUAAUUACUGAGCUAAGCUUAAAAAAAGAGAUUAAAACAAACUAGAAGUUUUUCGUUAAUUAAUGAUCUUGAAUUCGCUAAAUUUAAUUCAACAGUCAAAACAAUCUGAAGAAAAACAGAACAAUAAACCCAAGAUCACAAAACCCCCCGUUCUUUUCUUUCUUUUUUUUUCCCCAUUUUCCCAUCAACCAAACAAACUUCUUAAAAAAUGAUUAAAAAAACUCACCGUGUAUAAAAGGGAACAAAUUGUCAGCGAUGAACCUGGAAGCCUCAGGACCACCAUGGCCGUCAUAUACACCAACAUAAGUGGCAGAAGGAGAAGUAAAGACUUGUCCUUGGUCUUCCAACGAAGAAUUAGCUUGUACAACAGCAAUCGAGUAAUCCCCUAGAGCAUAAGGCUUUAAGUCUAUAUGCCAUAGCCCACCCCCACCAUCUCCACCUCCAAAACACCUCUCUAGAGGCCUUGUAAACAUUUCCAACACCAUACCCACUAACUAAAACUUGCCAAAAGAAAAACAAGAAAAAGAAAGAGAAAAUCUUUUGGGUUGUGGGUUUGAUGGAGUUUAGUGAAAAAGAAAGAGAAAUGGCGAGACGAUUUUCUUGGAAAAGAAAAGUUUGGGAGUUAGGGGGCAGUUGGGUGGAGGUUUGGACUCGUUCAAAGUAAACGUUUAAGAAGAAAGUGGGUAAAUUAAAAAUUUAAAGAGAAUAAUUUUCUUUUGGAGUUGACGCAGACGGAGAAAAAUUAAAAUUUUAUAGAUUGCUUCAUCAGAUGAUUAGAAUCCAAAAUCCUUGACGUGAAAAAAAUAUUAAGACAGAAAGAAAAUAAUAAAAAAAUUUUAAUUAUUUUUUAUUUAUUAUUUUUCUUCAUAUUUUCCUUCUAUCCAAAUAUAGGAUACGUGUUUGUUUGUUCUUUUUUUCCAAUGGGUUUGGGCAGGAGAAGUAGGAGACACUUUGACCGUCGUUUGUUAGGCUUGUUUUGUCAUUUGAGUAUCAGAGGGGAAAGAGACUCCCCAAUUUCUGUAUAUACACUUAUAUUAUAUCUUGAUAAAUUUUAUUAGGUUUGUUUUUGUUUGGCAUGUAUAGCAGACACCUUUUUCUCUUAUUUUUCGUUUUAAUUAAAUUUUAGUCAGAUAAUCAUAAUUAAAGCCCAUUAUUUCACCUGUUUAAGUUUUAGUAAUAUAUUUUUUAUUAAAAAGUUAUGGAUUUUUUUAGUAGCUUGGAUAUAAUAUAUUGAAAUAAUGUUUUAAAUUCAUUUAAGGAUAAUAGACUUUGAUUUCAAAAAUUAAAUCUAAAUUAAUAAUUGACAUAUGUAUAAUGUAUCUUUUUAAUUAUCAUUCUAAAUUUAGAUCAGAUAAAUUUAAAAACUCGGAUAAAUCAAAUUGGAUUAAUUUUCAUCUUCUAUACUUCUAUGAUUUUAUUGAAGCCCGAUCAGAGAGAUCAAGUCAAUAUUAAUAAGUUUAAAAUUAAAAUUAAAAUUACUACUACUUUGAAAAUUAAAUGCCUAAAAAUUAAAAAUAUGUGGUGUGUACCUAUUAAUUAGUUGCUAAUUGAGUCAAAUUAUAUAUACGUUCCUUAUUAUAAUAGUUUUAGGUUUUAUUUAUUUAUUCAAUAGUUUAAAAGUAAAAGAAUAUUAGAGAAUAUAUUAAUUUUUUUUAAACCAUUCAGUGUUCGAAAAUCCACUAGCUCAAUUUAUCAGAAUUUGCACUAAAUAGACUCAUAAAAGAGAAAAAAGUGCUCAAUUUUAAAUAUUUAAAGAGACUCUAUAUUCAAAUCUCCAUAGAUAAAAGUAUAUGGAAAUAGUAUUUUUUUUUCUUUCUUUAUGUUUUUUUUUCUCUGUGGUCAAGAAUGUGAAAGAUCUGCCUACUGUCUUGGUUGGUGCCCAUAAAUUAUGUCACAAGCUUGACUCUUCUUCCUCGUUCUAAUUCCACACGGUGAUGACCAUGUCUUAAUGUAAACUGAAAUUUGAAAAUAAAGAAAUGUCCAACUUUUGGCUUCGAGAGUCGUGAACCUCACUUUUGAAUAUUACAUUUUGCUUGACAAAUUAUCAGUUUUGAAAAUGGACUUAGAUUUUGGACCUUAAAUUGAUAAUGUCUUGGAAUAAUUUACAAUUAUGUGUUUUAUUUUAUUAAUUAGAGAAUUUUCUAUAUUCUCGGAAAUUUUCUAAUUUUUAUUUUAAAAAUAUUAUAACAUUAUAUAUUGUGUUUAAUAACAUUAAAACAUCUAAGCCCGUCUAGCUCAGUCGGUAGAGUGCAAGGCUCUUAACCUUGUGGUCGUGGGUUCGAGCCCCACGGCGGGCGGAAUUUUUAUUUUAAAAAUAUUAUAACAUUAUAUAUUGUGUGUAAUAACAUUAAAACAUCUAAGCUCGUCUAGCUCAGUCGGUAGAGUGCAAGGCUCUUAACCUUGUGGUCGUGGGUUCGAGCCCCACGGUGGGCGUAAUUUUUAUUUUAAAAUAUUUGUUUUCCAUUUGUAGUCUAUUCUGGAAAAUCCUUGCAUAAAUCUCAAACCAACAUUUUUUUUCUGUGUAAGCAUAUUCAGACUUUAUUAUUAGAAAUCGUCUAAUUUAGCUUGAGAUUUAGUUAUAGUUAAAGUUUUUUAUGUCUCUCUGCAUGUGUGUUUAGUGUGAAAUGAACUCGAAAGCUCAUUUCAGCUUUCACAACUCAUAGGUUAAGUGACAAUUAUUUUUAAUUGAAUAACGUGAUAAUUUUAACUAUAUCGAUUAAAUUUUUUUAAUCUAUGUAUAAAUGAAUCCAGGACACAAAGUAUGUAGCAGAGGAAAUAUUAACCAAUUAGCUAAUAUUCUUAAAUACACAUAAUAUACAUCUCAAAUAAAAUACAAAUAGUAAAUUAAUUAAUUCCGCACUUUACGCGGGUCGAUAGACUGGACUGGAUUUGCUUGACCAUUUGAAUGUGCAAGUCAAUCUUUUACAUUAAAGGAGUGAUAAUUACUUCAAAAAAAAAAAAAAGAGUUAUGAUACUUCAAUAGCGAUCCAAUUCAAAGAUGCAAUAGUUAUUUUACUGCCUCUCUGUUCCAUUAAUUUUAAUAUUUUAAUAUUUUUAUUUUCCUCUUAUAAAAUAUUUUUACAAAUUACCGUCGUAUAGAACCGUUUCAUUCUGAUUUUACUUUUAUUUAAAUUUAAAUAUCUUCACCAAAUUUUCUCUUUUAAUUAUAAUAAAUUAAAUAAUUUAGUCAUUUACUCUUAAUUUCUAGAUUGAGAUGAUGAAAUAUUUUUUAUAAUUAUUGUAAAAAGUCAAAAAAAAAAUAUCAAAAUUAACUGAAUGGAUGUAAUAUUGUCUAUAAGAAAUAUUUCAGUGAUAAAGAUUUGAAAUAUUUUAAAAGGUGUGGAUUAAAAUUAAAUUUAAUAUCUAAAGCUCAAUAUGUUUUUCAUAUGUACGAAUACCAUUUUCUUGGUAAUAUCAGAAGUUAAAUAGUAAAUUUGAAAGAGAAAUUUGUGAAAUAGGCAGUGAUUAAGACAAAGUUGAAUUUGUAAAUAUAGCUAACGUGAUUCCGAGUAUUUUUUUUUUGAGAAUUUGAGAGGGGGAUUCAAAUCCGAAUCUAUGUUUAAGGGAAGAAAAAUUUUUUUCUUUUUGGGAAAAAAAAAAGUAUUAUCCCCUAAUUUUUUUUUUUGCUGAAUUGGCCAUUGAUUUUAUGUUUUAGAGAUGACUUACAGCUUACAAGUAAUUAAAAUAUGUUUUCUUAUAAAUUUUGUCGUUUACAUAUUCCAUGCUCCUUAGAGAUCUCAAAAAAACUAAAAAGAAAAAAUUGGAUGUUGUUGAUCAAUUUGUACUAUGAACGUCUCCCACAUUGUAUUUCUCAAUAUUUUAGCAUGAACUUCCCCUACAUUGUAAUUUCCAAGAUACUUGGUUAGAGUUAGAGAUCCUAAAAAUUCCUUAAACAUGUAAAUAAUUAAUUACUACUUCCUAAAAUUCUAUAUAAAUUGACAAUUCUUUUACAACUUGCAAUAUGUAUUUGCAAGAAUAGAACAAAAAAAAAAAAAAAAGAAAAUUCAAAAAACAAUAUGCAAACUCCUAUCUUUUCUUCACUAAAAUAUUUAGUUGCUCACUUUUCUUUUCCUAUAACUUGUUUUAUUUAACAAAUCAGUCCAAAAUAACCUGAAUAAAUGGCAAACUAGUACAUGAAUGAAAUGGACAAAUAAAAAUUCAUUGUAAUGUAAAAGGUUCUGCCAAAAAAAAAAAAGAAAAAAGAAAAAGAAAAAGAAAAAGAGAACAAGAAGAAGAAGAAUAUUCUUAACUUGACUUAAACUAAAUAGACAAGUAAACAGUACAAGAAAGGGAUCACUGUUAUUAUUGGAUUCUUAAUAAGCAAUCUAACCUUUUUUUUUUUUUUUUUUUUCUUUUGAUCAGCAGAUAAAGAAAGAGUCAUGAGAAACGAACACAAAAGUUCAUCAUUAAUAUUUAAUAACACACGUUAAAUUGCUAAUAAUAGAUUAAUCAAAAGAAAAGAAAAGAUUUACAUAAUUCCUUUUCCUUUCCUUUUCUUUUUUGGGGUUCAAUCCAUUUUUAUCCAACUUCUUCUGUCUUGGAAGUCAGUCACGAAUUGCCAUUUUCACUCCCCACAUUAUCAUAAAGCAGCAAUCGUCAGUCGUGGGAAGUUUUCGCUAAGAGCUCUUCUCUUUACUCAAGGGUCUUCCCUUUAUCUUGGGUUUUGUCCCUUUACUUUAGAUCCCUUUUUACCCUGCUAUUUCAACUUUCCACCUCCAUGUUUACUCUUUCAAAUUCCGUUAUUUUCUUUGUCCUUUAACCUCUUCGUCCUUUUCCUUACUUGUGUGCCCCUCUUUCCUUCCUUUUGUCUUCUUUCUUUAUGGACAAAGCUGCACUAAUAGUUAAUGCCUCUCACUAACCAAACCUGGCACCACAUGAUUCCAGUCCAGUGCUAACAUUAAUUGAAGAAGAUAAUAGAAGCAUUAAUAGUAAGAAUGUGCUUGCUGGGAAAAUUAUUACAUCUGGGAAAUACAGUGCGGAGGUUGUUAAAGAAAUCAUGACUAAAUCCUGGCACUGCAAGGAGAAUUUCUCUGUAUACUUAAGAGAGAUAAACACCUUUGUUUUUACUUUCCAUAAUGCAUGUGAUGUUCAAAGAAUUCUUGUAGGAAGAGCUUGGAUACUUCAAAACCAACAUAUGGUUCUAAAAGAAUGGCCACCAGAUAUUGCUUUUAAUGAUAUUGAUUAUAAUUUAUCCACUUUCUGGAUUCAAGCUCAUGGUUUGUCCCCAAGCCAAAUGAACCACUCUAAUGCAAGUCUAAUUGGUAACUAAUUUGGGGGAUUAUUAAAAGUUUAUCUUAGGCAAGAUGAAGCCCAUGGAUGGUAAUGAUAUCUGAGAUUCAAGGCCAAUGUUAAUGUCACCCGACCUUCGUUAUUGGGGUUUAGCUACUACCAUUCAAGAGCGUCCACGUGGUACCCUAAGACAUCAAAUCUGCUCAAACCUAAACCAAAUCAGCCAUGAUAACCUGUUCAAUCUAUCACAUCAGGGCCUACCUUCAUUCAAUGCUAGUCCUAAUCAACCUGCACACCGUAACCAAGACCGUGAUUCUCAGCCUGACCAAGCCCAUUCUAUAGUUAUGGCCCAUUCUGUAUCAAGCCCAACUAGCAACCCUAAUUUAGAAAAGAUGGUCCAAAUACCCAAUUCUCCAAAUCAACGCCCAAACCCAAAGACAGAUUCUAAUUCCUCACUCUUUUCUCUUGAGCCGAAUAAGAUCACCUGGAAAACUAGGAAAAAAACAUUCCUUGAGAACAUCCAACCCAUCAAUACAGGUCUCUAAGACCUAUUCUCGCCAGGCCAACACCCUCUAGACCAAUUGUCUUUGGACAAACUUGUGCUGAUUACAAAAGAUAUUUUGUUUCCACAAUUCAGCACUAAUAAUCAGCAAACGCUAUUAGAGGAGGCUUCGAAGGCGGCUGACCUGAUUAUUAAUCAAGCCAGUGUUUUACACUAAAAUACUCCUUCAGACCCUGUUCCUAAGAAGAAGCAAUGGAAAAGACUAGCAAGUAGCAAAAGGGUUGUUAUAGAAGAACUGAUUGAGGAAAAUAAUGCAGCUUUGCAAAGCCAGCUUGAGUUGCAAAAUAGAAGCCCCAAGAAGAGGCCUUUCACAGAACAAUUAGUGUUGGAAAACAAGAAAAUCUGCCCUGAUGAUACAAUGGUGGAGGAAGCCAGCCAUAAAUGGCUACAAGGGGAUCAAUGAAACUUUUGAGUUGGAAUUGUCAGGGUUUGGGGAACCCCCUGACAAUUCAUAACCUCAAAGGUAGUUUCAAAUCCCAUUCCGCUGAUAUUAUUUUUCUUGCUGAAACUAAAAAUAGUGAUGCUUUUGUGACUAAGAGACUUUGUACAUAUGGAUACCAGGUGCUAGAUACAGUACAACCAAAAGGGAAAGCAGGUGGUUUAGCGUUAAUCUGGCGGGAGAUAGUAAAUGUCAAAGGUCAUUAAAAAAGAAUAGUUCUUUAUGCAUGCCAGGGUGAAAGAUGAUAGUUUGCAUCUAUGUUGUGAUCUUAUGUGUGUUUAUGCUAAUAGUGAUGAUAUGCACUGGAAGGAACAAUUUGAUUUUCUUAUACAAUAUCAGCAAGUCCUAUCUUAUUAUACUCUUUUUGCUGGGGAUUUCAACUCUAUUUUGAGUUUAAGAGAAAAACAAGGUGGAGGUUCUUAUGGAAUGUGGAAACUGAAUAUGUUUCGAGAUUUUGUUAAUAGUAUGACGCUGGCUGAUUUAGGCAUUUAAGGACAUCCAAUGACAUGGAAUAAUUGAAGAGACGGAUCUUCGAAUGUUCAGGAAAGACUAGAUCAUUUUCUUGCUACUAGUUCUUAGUUUAUCAAGUUUCCCAAAGCAAAAGUUUAUCAUCUUGAUUAUUUGGGAUCAGACCAUCAUCCUAUACUCCUUGAUGUCCAUCCAAAUGUGUGGAAGAGUCCUAAAUAUUUCCAUUUCGAUGACCAUUGGACCUUAAAUCCUGAUGUUGGUCAUGUGGUGGAAGAGGCUUGGCAAUAUGAGACACAUAGCUCAGAUUUGUUUAAGGUUUUCUCCAAACUCAAGAAAUGUAAGCGAGCAUUAUAGGUGUGGGCAAAAAACAAUUCUGUGAACUCACAGAAAUGGCUACAGGAACGUAAAAUUUGUUGGCGUGAGCAAAUCAAGGAGAAAGAAAUGUCAAAGUUUGACAGAUUGUGAAGAAAAUCUACUGUCAAACUUUGACAUGAGCAAAAAAUAGGAUUUGUCAAAGUUUGACAGAUUAUGAAGAAAAUCUGCUGUCAAACUUUGACAAAUCUUAAAUCUUUGCCUUUAAUUUAGGCUGUAAAUUAGGAUCUAAAUUGUACAAAACUAGUAUAAAUAUUUGUAAUUGCUGGAAAAGUAAUUAGAGAGGUGAAACAAAAUUGUUCUUAAUUAUCUUUUCUACAUGGUAUCAGAGCGAAUUAGGUAGAAACUGAUUUUUUUUCUGCAAUCAUGACAGAAGAAAAUCCUUUUGCUGUCAUCCCUCAUGAAUCUCGAAUCAUUGUUCAAGACAAUGCCCCUCUCCCCUCUGGAAUCAUCUUAGAUGAUACAAAUUAUCCAUUAUGGUCGCAACUUAUGGAGAUGCGUAUUGGAGCUCGAAAUAAAUCCGGAUUUCUUACCGGUGCAACACCAAAACCAGCUGCAAAUGACAAGCAAUUGGAAACCUGGCUUCUUGAUAAUAACCGGGUUAAGAGUUGGCUCAUUGAUUCUAUGAGUCCACUCUUGAUGCAACGAUUCAUCCGUCUUCAAACAGCCAAAGAAAUAUGGGAAGCUGUUGCAAAGACCUUCACAAUCUAUCAAACUUUGACAUUUCUUUCUCCUUGAUUUGCUCACGCCAACAAUUUCCACUAAUUUCAUAACCUUUGACAUUUCUUUCUCCUUGAUUUGCUCACGCCAACACUCCCCCUCAAGUUGGUGAAUAUAUGUCCAUCAUUCCCAACUUGUUAAGUGAGCUUUGAAAAUCUUUUACGGAUAUAGCCUUUGUUAGGAUAUCUGCUAGUUGAUCUUUUGAAGUGACAUAUCUUCUUGGCUGGGCUUGACCCAGAAUUCAACCAAGCUCGAAGUGAAAUAUUGAGGAAAGAUCCACCUCUUGAUCUUGAGUCAUGUUAUGCAUAUGUUCGCAAAGAUCAAAACCAGAGACAAACUAUGGAGGAAUAAAAAGUUCAGCCAGAUGGAAUGGUUCAUUUGACAGUCCGAACACGCCCUACAAAUUCCCAACAGGCUAAAGGAAAAAAAUUUGGCUCCAAGGGAAAUAAUUAUGUGUGCACUCACUGUGGUGAAGAAGGACAUUCAAAACAACGUUGCUAUGAGAUUAUUGGGUAUCCAGAAUGGUGGGAUUUUACAAAGAAACCUAGGAAGAAAAUUGUACAGGCUGCUGCCACAACCACAAAAGAUGAAGAAGUAAUUGCAUCAACUUCAAAUCCAGUUGCAGCACACGUUACAAAAGCUGAAAAUCCAGGUCUAUCUAAUACUUAUUGUAACAUCCCUUCCCGGUCCACCCGUUAACCCGAAUGAACCGAGCCGAGACGCUACAAUCUGGUUGAACUUAUAUCCUGUCAUGCUGAUAUCACCCUGUAUGCGAGAUAUGAAUAUAAGACACUCCCAAUUAACAUAUCAGACUUCCAAUAUCUCCAACUAAUCAUCAUAACACAACAACACUUUAUAUAUAUAGUCAUAACUGUAUAAAUCCUCAAUAGCAUUUAAUAUCCAGCAAAAUAUUUGCAUUCAUGAUCUCUAUCAAGUCUUCAUGACCUAAUCAUACCAACUAUAGUAAAAUAUUUCAUAUUCAAUCAUUUCCUCCAAAUACUUACACCACAAUAAUUACAUGCUUCAAUUAUAUUUCCAAUCACAUAAGCUCUAACAAAUGUAAUAAUUAUACAUGCCAUAAAUCUUAAUACAUGCCAUAAUUCUUAAUAUUACAACUCUCAAUCUACUAUGACCAAAUUAAGCACUUCUGCUUUGAUAGUACUCCUCAAGUCUUCAAGUAGCAACCACGAUCUUCAACCUACGCAUGAUAAAAAUCGACGCGCUGAGUAUAAAACUCAGUAGUGCUCAUAAUUCACAUANNNNNNNNNNNNNNNNNNNNNNNNNNNNNNNNNNNNNNNNNNNNNNNNNNNNNNNNNNNNNNNNNNNNNNNNNNNNNNNNNNNNNNNNNNNNNNNNNNNNNNNNNNNNNNNNNNNNNNNNNNNNNNNNNNNNNNNNNNNNNNNNNNNNNNNNNNNNNNNNNNNNNNNNNNNNNNNNNNNNNNNNNNNNNNNNNNNNNNNNNNNNNNNNNNNNNNNNNNNNNNNNNNNNNNNNNNNNNNNNNNNNNNNNNNNNNNNNNNNNNNNNNNNNNNNNNNNNNNNNNNNNNNNNNNNNNNNNNNNNNNNNNNNNNNNNNNNNNNNNNNNNNNNNNNNNNNNNNNNNNNNNNNNNNNNNNNNNNNNNNNNNNNNNNNNNNNNNNNNNNNNNNNNNNNNNNNNNNNNNNNNNNNNNNNNNNNNNNNNNNNNNNNNNNNNNNNNNNNNNNNNNNNNNNNNNNNNNNNNNNNNNNNNNNNNNNNNNNNNNNNNNNNNNNNNNNNNNNNNNNNNNNNNNNNNNNNNNNNNNNNNNNNNNNNNNNNNNNNNNNNNNNNNNNNNNNNNNNNNNNNNNNNNNNNNNNNNNNNNNNNNNNNNNNNNNNNNNNNNNNNNNNNNNNNNNNNNNNNNNNNNNNNNNNNNNNNNNNNNNNNNNNNNNNNNNNNNNNNNNNNNNNNNNNNNNNNNNNNNNNNNNNNNNNNNNNNNNNNNNNNNNNNNNNNNNNNNNNNNNNNNNNNNNNNNNNNNNNNNNNNNNNNNNNNNNNNNNNNNNNNNNNNNNNNNNNNNNNNNNNNNNNNNNNNNNNNNNNNNNNNNNNNNNNNNNNNNNNNNNNNNNNNNNNNNNNNNNNNNNNNNNNNNNNNNNNNNNNNNNNNNNNNNNNNNNNNNNNNNNNNNNNNNNNNNNNNNNNNNNNNNNNNNNNNNNNNNNNNNNNNNNNNNNNNNNNNNNNNNNNNNNNNNNNNNNNNNNNNNNNNNNNNNNNNNNNNNNNNNNNNNNNNNNNNNNNNNNNNNNNNNNNNNNNNNNNNNNNNNNNNNNNNNNNNNNNNNNNNNNNNNNNNNNNNNNNNNNNNNNNNNNNNNNNNNNNNNNNNNNNNNNNNNNNNNNNNNNNNNNNNNNNNNNNNNNNNNNNNNNNNNNNNNNNNNNNNNNNNNNNNNNNNNNNNNNNNNNNNNNNNNNNNNNNNNNNNNNNNNNNNNNNNNNNNNNNNNNNNNNNNNNNNNNNNNNNNNNNNNNNNNNNNNNNNNNNNNNNNNNNNNNNNNNNNNNNNNNNNNNNNNNNNNNNNNNNNNNNNNNNNNNNNNNNNNNNNNNNNNNNNNNNNNNNNNNNNNNNNNNNNNNNNNNNNNNNNNNNNNNNNNNNNNNNNNNNNNNNNNNNNNNNNNNNNNNNNNNNNNNNNNNNNNNNNNNNNNNNNNNNNNNNNNNNNNNNNNNNNNNNNNNNNNNNNNNNNNNNNNNNNNNNNNNNNNNNNNNNNNNNGAGCGCGUAUGUGUUAUCGGCACAAGUCGCGAGCGCGUAAAUGCAAGUCGCGAGCGCGUACAGUGCAAAAUGAGAGACAGUGAGUUCCCAGGCCAAAUUCGCGAGCGCGCGAUGAAGGUCGCGAGUGUUUACAGGCCAAGGGCCAAGUCGCGAGUGUGCACUUGCAAGUCGUGAGCGCGAGAAGUGCCAAAUGAGAGGUAGUGAGGUUGCGAGCACAAGUCGCGAGAGCGUAAAUGCAAGUCGCGAGCGCGUACAGUACAAAAUGAGAGUCAGUCGCGAGCUCUUCAUGCAAUUCGCGCGCGCGUCGCGUUUUCCAGCCUGCACUGUCUGUACUCUUUUGGUCAUAUCUCUCAAUAUACAACUCCGAUUUGAAUGAUUCAAAAACCCAUGUAAAGCUAACACAUAGAGGAACAAAUAACUCUUCUAUGACACUUCCUAAUUCCAUCAUUUAANNNNNNNNNNNNNNNNNNNNNNNNNNNNNNNNNNNNNNNNNNNNNNNNNNNNNNNNNNNNNNNNNNNNNNNNNNNNNNNNNNNNNNNNNNNNNNNNNNNNNNNNNNNNNNNNNNNNNNNNNNNNNNNNNNNNNNNNNNNNNNNNNNNNNNNNNNNNNNNNNNNNNNNNNNNNNNNNNNNNNNNNNNNNNNNNNNNNGAGUAGCUACCCUGAAGAACGAGUCUUCUAGAUGAACUGCAGCAGUUGUAAGCUGACUCUCUACGGUCCAAUCUCAAAACCUGCGAGUUAAACAGGUAACUCGCUGAGCAAAUAAAGCUCAGUGGAUAUCUCAACAUAUAAAGAAACAAUUAAGCACAUACAUAGAUAGAAAUAAGCAUGUAAAUGCAUAAGGAUAACCAAACAUAUAAGCAUAUAUAGCAUGAUCCUUUCCUUAUACCUUGAUUUUCUUUCGUACUGUUUAUCAUACUGUAUGAUUUAUGAAUUGUUAUGUCACAAUAUCUGUAUGGCUCCAUAAGGUUAUAGUGAAACCGAGGUGAUAAGGGAAGCUGUAUGAAACUGGAUGAAUACUGUAUGCUUGGCUGCUAUGGCCGAUAUAUAAUCAUAUCCACUCAACGGCCUGUAGCCGGAGUACUAAACUGUAUGGGGCACAGAUCUGCUAUCCUAUGUUGCGACAUAGCCUUAUCUACAUGGUUUCUACCUAACCUCAAUGGAGCAAAGUGUUGGUAUGUCAAUAAGAUAACACAAUAGCAUAAUAAUAGUUCAUAAUUUCAUAAUUCAUAAUGUUCACUUGAUUUCACAUCAUUUGCAUGCUUGCAUGUUGUUUUGAUACAUGUUCUAAUGUUGUAUUUGAUGUUAAAAUGAUUGGAGGCAUAUAAGUGAAGCAAAGGAAUACAAUUGCAUUGAAAAUGAAGUCCAAAAAUGCAUGAAAACACAAGUCGCGAGCGCGCCUUGCAAGGUCGCGAGCGCGUAAUGCACCAGAUGAGAGACAGUGAGUUAUCGGGCACAAGUCGCGAGCGCGUACUUGAAAGUCACGAGCGCGAGAAGUGCCAAAUGAGAGACAGAGAGUUUGCGAGCACAAGUCGCGAGCGCGNNNNNNNNNNNNNNNNNNNNNNNNNNNNNNNNNNNNNNNNNNNNNNNNNNNNNNNNNNNNNNNNNNNNNNNNNNNNNNNNNNNNNNNNNNNNNNNNNNNNNNNNNNNNNNNNNNNNNNNNNNNNNNNNNNNNNNNNNNNNNNNNNNNNNNNNNNNNNNNNNNNNNNNNNNNNNNNNNNNNNNNNNNNNNNNNNNNNNNNNNNNNNNNNNNNNNNNNNNNNNNNNNNNNNNNNNNNNNNNNNNNNNNNNNNNNNNNNNNNNNNNNNNNNNNNNNNNNNNNNNNNNNNNNNNNNNNNNNNNNNNNNNNNNNNNNNNNNNNNNNNNNNNNNNNNNNNNNNNNNNNNNNNNNNNNNNNNNNNNNNNNNNNNNNNNNNNNNNNNNNNNNNNNNNNNNNNNNNNNNNNNNNNNNNNNNNNNNNNNNNNNNNNNNNNNNNNNNNNNNNNNNNNNNNNNNNNNNNNNNNNNNNNNNNNNNNNNNNNNNNNNNNNNNNNNNNNNNNNNNNNNNNNNNNNNNNNNNNNNNNNNNNNNNNNNNNNNNNNNNNNNNNNNNNNNNNNNNNNNNNNNNNNNNNNNNNNNNNNNNNNNNNNNNNNNNNNNNNNNNNNNNNNNNNNNNNNNNNNNNNNNNNNNNNNNNNNNNNNNNNNNNNNNNNNNNNNNNNNNNNNNNNNNNNNNNNNNNNNNNNNNNNNNNNNNNNNNNNNNNNNNNNNNNNNNNNNNNNNNNNNNNNNNNNNNNNNNNNNNNNNNNNNNNNNNNNNNNNNNNNNNNNNNNNNNNNNNNNNNNNNNNNNNNNNNNNNNNNNNNNNNNNNNNNNNNNNNNNNNNNNNNNNNNNNNNNNNNNNNNNNNNNNNNNNNNNNNNNNNNNNNNNNNNNNNNNNNNNNNNNNNNNNNNNNNNNNNNNNNNNNNNNNNNNNNNNNNNNNNNNNNNNNNNNNNNNNNNNNNNNNNNNNNNNNNNNNNNNNNNNNNNNNNNNNNNNNNNNNNNNNNNNNNNNNNNNNNNNNNNNNNNNNNNNNNNNNNNNNNNNNNNNNNNNNNNNNNNNNNNNNNNNNNNNNNNNNNNNNNNNNNNNNNNNNNNNNNNNNNNNNNNNNNNNNNNNNNNNNNNNNNNNNNNNNNNNNNNNNNNNNNNNNNNNNNNNNNNNNNNNNNNNNNNNNNNNNNNNNNNNNNNACUUAUCUUGUUAGGAAUAAUACAUGGAUAAUUGAUACAGCUGCUACUGACCAUAUGACAAAUGAUUCUACCCUUCUUUCACAUAUUCAUCCUUCACCUCAACCUCAUGUACUCACUGCUAAUGGAGGAGUUGCUCCCGUUAUUGGCGAAGGAUCAACACAUGUGUCGCAUUCCAUUAAUCUUGAUACUGUGCUUGUAGUUCCUUCUCUUUCUUCCAACCUUUUAUCUGUUGGUAAAAUCACAGAAACUCUAAAUUGUACUGCAACUUUUUGGCCUAAUAAAUGUAUUUUUCAGGACAUUAUAACACAACGGAUUCUUGGCUAUGGUAUUAGGCGUGGAAACUUGUACUAUCUUGAUUUGGCCACUUCAAGAAAACAAAGAAUUGAUCAAGCAAAUAACACUGAGGCCAGUCAAGGAAAUGAGGAUAUGGUUUGGUUAUGGCAUCGUCGCCUUGGUCAUCUGUCAUUUAAUUAUCUUCGAAAAUUAAAACCAAGUUUGUUUUUACAUACAAAUGCUAAGUUUGAUUGUGACGUUUGUGAAAUGGCUAAGAGUCAUAGAAUUUCAUAUCUUCCUAGUUAUAAUAAGAGUACUUCACCUUUUAUGAUUAUCCACUCUGAUGUUUGGGGACCUGCUCAAAUCCCUACAUUAUCUGGUGCUCGUUAUUUUGUGACAUUUAUUGAUAAGUGUACUCGCAUGAUUUGGGUCUAUCUCCUAAGAAACAAGGGAGAGGUAUGUUCUGUUUUGCAGAAUCUGUAUCGAAUGGUACAUUCACAGUAUCAAUGCAGAAUUAAAGUUCUUCAAUCUGAUAAUGGUGGGGAGUAUAUAAAUUCUGAAUUGAAAAUUUUUUGUCAAAAAAAUGGUAUUCGACACCAAACUUCAUGUGCUGGUACACCACAACAAAAUGGUUUGGCAGAACGAAAAAAUCGCCAAAUACUAGAGGUUGUCCGAGCUUCUUUAUUUGGCAUGAAAGUACCUCGAGAAUACUGGGGCGAAGCUAUUUGCUCUGCUGCAUAUCUUAUUAAUCGGACGCCGUCACGAGUCAUUGAGUUUAAAACACCACAUCAAAAACUCCAUGAAUUAGUUUCUGCUCCAAUCAGUCCGAACCUUGAACCUCGUGUCUUUGGCUGUACUGCAUAUGUACACCGGGUUGCAGGUAAACUUGAUCCACGAGCUGUCCGUUGCAUGUUUAUUGGGUAUGCAAACCUCCAAAAGGGAUAUCGAUGUUAUGAUCCUACAGAAAAUAAAAUGUAUGUAACCCGCGAUGUCACAUUCCAUGAAAAUACUCCUUAUUUUGGUGGUCAUGAGUGCUCUCUUCAGGGGGAGACUACACUUAAUUUGGGUGAAGACAACACUCAUGAAUACUUUGAAGAACAAGAAACGGCUGAUAAACAACUUUCAGAUCCUGUUGUCACACAACCUGAGAAUGAUGAUGGCGCCCAAGAAAAUCAAGAUAGUACAAUUUCCCAAGUCACCCCACCAGCCAUAGAAAUUCCAGAUGUGUCGGUGUCUCCUCAGGGAACAACACUACCAUCCUCUCCUUUAAUUCACGAUCCAAUUCCUCUAGCUGAACCAAGAUAUCCAAUUAGGAAGAAUAGAGGAAUUCCAAAAGCACAAUAUGAACCUGAUUUUAAUGCUAAGACUAAGUACCCCAUUAACAAUUAUACCUCGUCUCAUCAUUUGUCAAAAUCACAUGCACUUGUUGUAAAUCAAUUAUCUCCUGUAUCUAUUCCAAGUAAUGUGCAGGAAGCAUUGAUGGAUUCAAAAUGGAAGAAAGCUAUGAAUGAUGAAAUGGAAGCCUUACAAAAGAAUCAUACAUGGGAACUUGUAUCGCUGCCCCCAAAGAAGAAAACUGUAAGGUGCAGAUGGAUCUUCACAGUUAAGCUUAAUCCAAAUGGAAUCAUAGAUCGUUACAAGGCAAGGCUUGUUGCUAAAGGGUAUACACAAAAGUACGGAAUUGAUUAUGGAGAUACAUUUGCUCCUGUAGCAAAAAUAAAUACCAUACGAAUUCUUAUUUCCAUACCAGCGAAUCAAGAUUGGCCGUUGCAACAGUUCGACGUUAAAAAUGCAUUUCUGAAUGGAAAUUUGGAAGAAGAAGUAUACAUGGAUCCUCCUCCAGGCAUAAAUUGUGGUGGCAAGGUAUGCAAACUAAAAAGGGCCUUAUACGGAUUAAAGCAAUCCCCCCGAGCAUGGUUUGGAAGGCUAUCAAAUUUCAUGAAGAAAAUUGGAUACAAACAAAGUGAUGCUGAUCAUACUCUCUUCGUCAAACAAGAGUUUGAGAAGGUAACUGCUCUUAUUGUAUAUGUGGAUGACCUGGUUGUUACUGGAAAUGACUCAAAUGAAAUAGUUGUCCUCCAAGAAAGCCUUGAAACUGAAUUUGAACUUAAAGAUCUUGGACACUUGAAAUAUUUCUUAGGCAUUGAAGUUGCAAGAUCAAGUAAUGGAAUUUAUCUAUGUCAGCGAAAAUAUGUAUUAGAUUUGCUAGCAGAAACUGGGAUGCUUAACUGUAAGCCCGUUGAAACUCCCAUUGAAGUGAAUCACAAGUUAGCCAUUCAACAAAACCAAAUUCCAGCUAACAAGGAGAGGUAUCAAAGAUUAGUUGGGAGGCUAAUAUACUUGUCGCAUACGCGUCCUGACAUNNNNNNNNNNNNNNNNNNNNNNNNNNNNNNNNNNNNNNNNNNNNNNNNNNNNNNNNNNNNNNNNNNNNNNNNNNNNNNNNNNNNNNNNNNNNNNNNNNNNNNNNNNNNNNNNNNNNNNNNNNNNNNNNNNNNNNNNAGGAUAUACAGAUGCAGAUUGGGCUGGAAGUCUGACCGAUCGAAAAUCCACAUCAGGGUAUUUCACUUUUGUUGAAGGCAACUUAGUUACAUGGCGAAGUAAGAAGCAAAAAGUGGUAGCAAGAUCAAGCGCAGAAGCAGAAUUUCGCGGAAUGGCACAAGGCAUCUGUGAAUUGCUAUGGAUAAAGCGUAUUUUACAUGAUCUGGGUAUACAUCUGUCAACACCUAUGAAGUUAUUAUGUGAUAAUAAGGCAGCCAUAGCAAUUGCAAAUAAUCCAGUUCAACAUGACAGAACCAAACACGUGGAAGUCGAUCGGCACUUCAUCAAAGACCAUCUUGACAAAAAUACAAUUAGUCUUCCGUUUGUCACUUCAAAAGAUCAACUAGCAGAUAUCCUAACAAAGGCUGUGUCCGUAAAAGAUUUUCAAAGCUCACUUAACAAGUUGGGAAUGAUGGACAUAUAUUCACCAACUUGAGGGGGAGAGUUGGCGUGAGCAAAUCAAGGAGAAAGAAAUGUCAAAGUUUGACAGAUUGUGAAGAAAAUCUACUGUCAAACUUUGACAUGAGCAAAAAAUAGGAUUUGUCAAAGUUUGACAGAUUAUGAAGAAAAUCUGCUAUCAAACUUUGACAAAUCUUAAAUCUUUGCCUUUAAUUUAGGCUGUAAAUUAGGAUCUAAAUUGUACAAAACUAGUAUAAAUAUUUGUAAUUGCUGGAAAAGUAAUUAGAGAGGUGAAACAAAAUUGUUCUUAAUUAUCUUUUCUACAAAAUUCUUCUCAAAGAAGCUAAGCAUAGUGGGGAUGGUUGGAGUAGCAAUAGAGUGCGAAACUUAGAAGCCCAAAUAAAGGCUGAAGUUGUUAAAGAGGAAAUCUAUUGGGCUCAAAAAUCCAGACAAGUGUGGUUGAAAAAAGGGAGAUAAUAAUACUGCUUUUUUUCAUGCUAAGCUCAGCGGUAUAAAAGAAAUUUCAUUAAUGGUAUUGAAGAUGCUCAGGGAGUAUGGCAUAUUGAACAAAAAGAGAUUGUAGCUGUUGCUUUGGAUUAUUUUGAAGCGAUAUUCACAUCUUCCAAUCCCUGUAACUUUCAGAGGGUCUCUUAAGGUAUCCGAUGUCGAGUUACUUCUGUUAUGAAUGACUUUUUAAUUCGGGAGGUCUCUGAUGAUGAGAUUCAACAAGCAGUAUUCAGCAUCCAUCCCUUAAAAGCUCCUGGAGAUGAUGGUAUGACAGCUCAAUUUUUUCAUGUGUAUUGGGAUGUCAUUAAAGAAGACAUAUUCAAGGCUAUUAGAAGUUUCUUUAGUUCAGGAAGGAUGCUUAAAAAUAUCAACCACACUAUUAUCUCUUCGAUUCCUAAAACUAAAUAAGUUAAAACCAUGCAGCAUUUGAGGCCUAUUAGUUUGUGCACAGUGUAUUAUAAAAUCAUUGCUAAGGUUCUCACUAACAGACUGCAAGGAACCAUGCACCACGUAGUUGGAGAUCAUCAAAGUGCUUUCACAAAAGGCAGACUUAUUUCAGACAAUAUUCUCUUAGCUCAUGAACUGAUGCACUCCUUAAAAACUAGAAGAAACAGUGGUAGGUAUGACAUGGCUAUUAAACUUGCUGUCAGCAAAGCCUAUGAUUGAUUGAAUGGGAUUUUCUUAGUCAUAUGAUGAACCAACCUGGUUUUCAUUCUAAAUGAUAAACUGGAUUAUGGCAUGCGUUACCUCUGUUUCUUAUUGUGUCAAAAUCAAUGGACAGAAGUAUGGUUUUAUCACUCUUUCUAGAGGACUCAAGCAAGGAGAACCCCUCUCCCUAUAUCUAUUUCUUCUAUGUGUUGAAGGAUUCUCUGACAUGAUUACUAGAGCUGAGAGAAUGAACCAAAUUUCAAAUGUUAAAAUUGCUAGAAGGUCUCCUCCAAUAUCUCAUUUAUUAUUUGCUGAUGACUCCAUUUUGUUUUGUAGAGCAUCUGAGCAGCAAGCCAUUCACAUUAAAAGCAUCCUUACUUAAUAUAGCCAAGCCAGCAGCCAACAGGUUAAUUUUCGCAAAUCUUUUAUCUUCUUCAACCGCAACACACCUUAUGCUUGUAGAGAUUCAAUUGCUCAAUAUCUGGGAAUCAAUCAUAUAGGAGGGUAAGAUAAAUAUUUGGGUCUCCAAUCAGUUAUCUCUCGCUCAAAAAGGAUCACUUUUGCCGAAAUUCAAGAAAAAAUAAGGCAAUGACUCAUGAAUUGUAAAGAAAAAUUGCUUUCAACUGCAGGUAAAGAAGUCCUAAUCAAAGCAAUUGCUUCAGCCAUUCCUAUUUCCUCUAUGUCGUGUUUCAAGCUUCCUAUUAGUUUAUGCCGUAAAAUUAAUUCCACCAUAGCUCAGUUUUGGUAGGGCCAGAAAGAAGAUGAAAAAAAAAAAAACACUGGUUAUCAUGGAAUUCAUUAUGCAAAUGAAAAGUAGAGGGAGGUUUGGGCUUUCGAGAUUUAGAAUAUCUCAGUUUGGCUUUGCUUGGAAGCAAUGUUGGAGCAUCCUUAAAUUUUCAGAAUCGUUGCUCUCUCGAGUUUUAAAAGGAAAAUAUUUUCCUUUUUCAUCUUUUCUUGAAGUUGGGCAUAAGCGUAAUCAAUCUUGGGGAUGGUAAGAGUAUUUUAAAAGGAAAAGAAUUUCUUAAGCAAGGUCUUCAAUUGAAAAUCAGAAAUGGAAAAUCUGUUUUUUAUGAUGAUCCACGGCUACCACCAAAAUUUCCCUUCAAGCCAUGCCUUCUCAAUGGUGAUCAUAGCAGAAUAUAUUGGGUUUCGCAACUUAUUAAUUCCACCACUGGUAUUUGGAACUAUAAUCUUGUGCGGACUAAUUUUGUUGAUGCAGAUGCCAAAGUAAUCUUAUCUCUUACUUUUAGCAUCACUACAGCUCAAGACACCUUAGUGUGGCACUAUACCAAAAAUGGAGAGUACUCAGUUUGUUCAGGCUAUCAUAAAGCUUGCAAGCAAAAAGAGUUAUGUUCUUCUCAACAUCAAAUGAAUUCGAGCUAUGGAGCAGGUCAACAAUAAUUAUGGAAGAAUGUAUGGUCUUUGAAUGUUCCAAAUAAAAUCCGCAUCUUUUAAUGGAGAGCUUUACACAAUAGUCUUCCUGUAGGGAUCUCUUAGCUAAAAGGUUCCCUACAAAAACGAAUCUUCAUAAGUUGUGCUCUGAUGUAGAAACCUCAUCGCAUCUAUUUUUUUUGCGCCACAAGGCUGCUGCUGUUUGGAUCCAUUCUCCCCUGCAAUUACGAACCGCGAAUUUCAAUGGAAUGGAUUUCAAGGAAUUCUGGCAAAUUAUUUAUCAAAACCUUUCCAAUUCUGGAAAUCAUGAUAUGGUAGCUCUUGCUGUUUUUUUUUGUGGCAGAUUUGGAAGGCAAGGAAUGCUCUCAUUUUUCACGAUCAAGAUUGGAACUGGAAAGAAAUCUUAGAGAAAGCUUUUUUUCACAGUCAAGAGUUCAAAGAUGCUUGCAAGCUUUUGAAUCAUCCAAAUGAUCAACCAUCUUCAUCUCUUGAAGAAUCUACAACACCUCCAAAUGUUGUGAAGGUCAAUUUUGAUGCAGCUGUGAAAAACAAGAUGAAUUAUGGUUGCAUUGCCAUUAUAGCACGUUCUCAUUUGAACAGGAUUAUAACAUGGUCAGUGAAGCAAAUCCUUUUUCAAACCAAUCCCAUUAUUUUGGAAGCAAUGGCUCUUAGACAAGCUGUGGAAAUGGCUUUACAGCAUCAUUUUCACAAUGUUAUUUUUGAGGGAGACCCAAAAAUAGUCAUGGAUGCAGCUUCAAAGACGUCUUCUCCUUUUGUUUGUAUUCAAGGCUUAAUACAUGAUGUUUCCUAUCUAGCUACUCAGUUUUCUUUAGUUUCUUUGAAGUUUAUUAGAAGGCAUUUUAACAGUGAUGCCCACAAUCUAGCUAGAAAAGGUUUGAAUCUUUCUUUUGUAUUAAUAUCUCAUCCCAAGUUUCAUGGAUCAGGGAGUGAUACUAAUCGUAGAAUUUUAUUUCCACUUUUUCAAUGAAUUUCUAUUUGGUAAAAAUAUAUAUAUAUAUAUAUAAAGCAGCAAUCGUCAUGGUUUAAUCAUGAUAAGCACGUCCACCUCCACCUCCACCUCCACCUCCACCUCCACCGCCCUUUCCAUCAUUGCCACCCAUCACGGUUGCCUUUCUCAAUUCUUUUUUUUUUUUUGACAUGUCCUUUCUCAAUAAUCAAAUGAUACAUGAAAUUAUGAUUUUAUGACUUCAAAUUUUAGUCAAAAUAAAAAAAAAAUAUGUGUAAUAAGAUCUGUUGGUUGGUGAGAUGAUCAAUAUUUCAAAGAAAGAGAAAGAAAUACUUCUAGAAAUUAGAGCCAAUUACAAUAAUAAAUUAUGUAAUUCAAAUUAAAGAUGAGGGAAAAAAAAAAAAAAAGAAAAGAAAAGAAAAGAGGGAAACCCAUAAACUAAAAAGACGAUGAUAAAAAAAAUAGAGUACAAAGCAUGCGUGAGGAAAGAUUGUUCAUUAUCACGAAUCUAGGCCCUCUUUCUCUUCUUCAUGAUCAAGAAAGCUAUCAUGUGAAAGCUCCUUUAUCCACUCAAAUGUUCGAUGACGUGACAUUACUUGCUUUCCCUGCUGUUGCUGCUUUUCCGUCAUUUUCUUCUUCUUCUUCUUCUUCUUUAUCUUCAUUUCUUGUAGUUUUUGCUCCGCUUUUGUCGACCCUCUUUCUUUGCUUUUCUCAUUUUUGCUAUCAUUAAUACUUCCCGUGCUGUUGUUACCGCUUUUAAUAUUGAGUACAUUUAAUGGAACUGGUUUAACUGCACUAACUGUACAACUGCAACCACUUAAUAGCCCUGAUUUUUUGUCCAAGAAACGCUGUUUACACCGUUUCUUCUGUUUCUCCAUCUUUUCUUGAUUGCCCUUGCUACUAAUCUUGAUACUUGAAUUGCUGUUACUGCUAUUAGAACUGCUGUUUCUACUAACAGAGGCUCGAACUUUAAGAUCUUGCAAUUCAAUCUCCGGGGUACGGACUACACCGAGUCUAAAAAUGUCCCAUACAGUUGAUUUUCUUGAAUUUCUGUUAUUGCCAGUAUUUCCUUUAGUGGAAAGUCUGAUUUGAGGCUUGGGACUCGGAUGGGUGUGAAAUUGAUUUUGAAUUAUUGAUCUUGGCUGCUUUGAAAUUGAAAUUCUUGGACUUUUUUUAACAGAGCUAGUCGUGCUAGUCGAUGAAAAUUGGCUUCUACUGCUACUGCUUCUGCUACUAAAACUUGUAAACCCAUGGUCCAAUGACUCUGAUCUUGAGAAACAUUUAAUAGGAUUUUUUAAGCUGUCUUGGCUCGACUUAUAAGUACCACUUUCAGAACUUAUUGAAAGACGAAAUGGAAGAAUUUGACCUUGAAAGAAAAUAUCAUCAGCUGCACACAUUUCUGAUUUUGUAGAAACAGACCUACCAAAUUGGCUAAAAUCAAAAUCUUCUUGAUUUGCUUCAGUUUCUUCUCUUCUCAAUUGAUGAUUCUCUUCUUUGAUCAAAUUGAUUGGUAAAUCACAAAGUGAUAAUGCUUCUACUUCUUCUUCUUCUUCAGAAUUUUCCCAUUUCCCUUCUUCGUUUCUUGCCAUUUCAAGAAACAGAGCUUUUAGUACCCAAAAAUAGUGUUGGGGUCCCUCCUAAGAAGAAAAACAAAGGAGAUGAAGAUUCUUAAGACUUAUAUCCAAGAAAGACGGCAUUUAAAUAAGAAAAAGGGAAAUAGAGGGAGAGAGAUUUGAAUUUGUUAUUCUAAGAGAGAAGCAGGGACAUGUGGAACUUAAAGAAAUAAAGCUACUGCAAGAAAAACAGAGGAUUAAAGAAAGAAAAUAAUAGCAGAAAUGGAGAAGUCAGUGGCUGUGCAGGCUCUCUUCUCUACUCAAAUAGUCCUUUUCUUUGGCUGGGACCAACACCUAAUUGGCCGGCCAUUACCUGAUUCUUUUACUGUCUACAAAUACCCUCUUUAAUGUAUUUGAAUUGGAGGCAAGAGGGUAUUCUCAAGUGGGGCUAUAUAUAAGAUAGUGUUAUAGGGACAUUUUUAUAUCAUGAACAUGCAAAUUUUUUUAUAUUUAUGCAUAUAGUUUAUAGAUAGAAGCAACCUUUUUUGGGUUUCUCUUCCAAGUAUAGAAUGUAAUCUAUAAAAUAAAAUGUCACACCAUCAUAGACAGCUUUUGUUGAGCUCUAUACACUUAAUAAUAGAUUCAAUUUAUGGAAUCAAAGUUUAUAUGGGAAUACAAAAAUCAAGACACCCACAAAUUCUUUGAGACAGGGACUAGAAGAGAAUUAAUAAAUCAAUAGGGAAUUGGUGAGGAUUUUAUUUGUGAAUUUUUAAUUAAUUUGAUUUUGGGUCGGUGUGGGUUGAUAAGAAUACUGAAAUGAUGUAUUUUAAUUUUGUAGGUGACUUGUGUGGUGGAAUUGGGCGAUUUGAAUGUUAUGUCAUGGAGAGCUUGUGAUAAUUGAGAAAGAAUGUGACUAAUCAAUCUCUUUCUCUUUCUCUUCCCAUGUCUUUAAUUUUGCUUUUCUUGUGGAAUGGACGUUUUUUGCCCUGUUGGAUCGGGUAGGAAAGGAAUGGCUUGUAUUUCAUUGUUUUAUACACGACAAAAAUUGUCUGUGAGAUUUUUUUUUUUUUUUUUAAAGGGAAAUAAUUAUUUUUAAGGAUAAAUAUCUCGUGAUGUUAUUUCAAUUUCUUUUCUUUUUUAUUUUAAAAAGUGAUUUAGAUAGUAAUUUAUAUUUAAAUUGAAUAAACGAGAUUUGUAAAAUCAAUAAUUCGAACUAUUAUAAAAAGUUCAACUCGUGAAAUAACAUUAUAAAAAGAAUAAUUCGAACUAUUGCGAAAUAACAUUAUAAAAGGAAACAACUACAAACCCAAAUCAAAUUCUUCUUCUUGUACCCAAAUAAUAUCUUAGUGAGAGUACCAAAAAGGAAAAUUCUUAUUUUCUUUUUUCUUUUAAGGAGUCUUGAGUUGACUUUAGUUGUCAACUACAACCAUUUUAUUAUAGUUUUGAAAAAACAAUGUUAAUUAUUUGUCAUAGCAUCUUAAGAAGGUUUUAAAUGAUUUUAAGAAAAAUAAGUAUUUUUGGAAAGUUAUUUACCAAUAAAAACAGGUAAAAAAGACUAUUCAUUCGAUAAUACAUAAAUAUAUACGUAUAUAGUGUUGGCUUAUCAUACGUCCAAAAUCAUUCAUAUAUCCACAUACAAUGUAUCAUUUUUGGUAUUCAACAAUCUUCUUUUUAAUGUUUUUUUUAAUUAAUAAUAAAUUCUUUUUUAAAAAAAAGGAAGAAAUCAAUCCGUAAUUAGAAAUUAUUAAUGGUAAAAUCUAUUUUUUGUAAUUUUAUGGAAAAAUGAAAUAGAAAUAUGAACCUUUCUUAAAAAAAAAAAAAAAAACAUAAAUAGAAAUAUGAAUCAUAUUUGAACUGAAAGAGACAAUAUUAGUUUUGUUUAAUGUUCUUGAACACGAAAGACAAGCAGCAGACCCACAAACCAGGUUCACGACCUGCUUUUCUUAUCCGUUUUACAAGGUAGAGCUGACGCUUGACAGCAAGUAAGAAAUUGCAAUUUUGUGAAUUAUUUUCAUGUCACUUCUCAUGCAUCAAAUUUAAGUGACAUAACUGAAUGUGGCAGUAGCAGCCCUUUAAGACUUUCAAAAGGAACAAAAAUAUAUUGAACAUGUAUUAAAAGAGGCCGAGGAUUUCAUCUUCAUGAACAGAAGAUAUAUAAUUAAACACAUCAAUUAUAGAAAGAACAUACAAAUAUACACAGGUCACAUUUUCCUUAAUCACUGUUAUUUAUUAUCUUUUUUUAAUUUGAAAAAAGAAAGCUGAAAGUUUAAUUACCCAACUUUAUUUAAUCCCCAUCUAUAUAUUCAUCCAAAAAAAAAAAAAAAACUAAAAAAAACUAAGGUGGUUUUCUUUUUUAAUUUUGAGGAAUAAAAUUUAAGGCUUCUUGGGACGACUAGUUAUAGCAUCAAUGGUACUAACAUCAGCAUCUCGAGGGACAGAGCCACCAGAAAGAGUGGGUGCAUCGGUGGCGCCGGCUCCGCGGCCAGGCUUUGGCUGGAGAUGGCCUUGAGUUCCAUAGCCCUUUAGCUUGUAAUCUUCCAAGUCCUUGUAUUGCAGAUAAGGGCUGUCCUCAACUGGAAGACCCUCUAAUUUCUCUUUCUUUUCCUGCUCUUCACGACUUUCUGUAGCUUGUUUUUCCAUCUUUAGAACUUCUGAUUUCUAUUCAGUUUCUCUCCAUCCACCACCUUCUUCCUUAUUCCAUAAUAUAUAACGGCGUUUUCUUAAUAGCUGUGGCUUUGCUAAAUGUCAGGCUACGUGUCUAAUUUGCAUGUGAAAGUGUUGUUAGUCAUAGAACUACGUGUCAAUAUGUCAAGGGCACUACAGGCAUGCAAAUUGUAAAUCCUCUUCGGACAAUAAUUGGAUUGAAAAAUACUUGUCUAAAUUGAAUUUAUCGCUACGAAUCAAAUCAGCCAAAAUAAAAAUUUAUAAAUUUUUUUUUUUUUCAAUAUAUAGUUAAAAAUGCCAUCCUUUCAAAUUCUAUUUCAACGGUUUGGUACAGUAAAUAUAUCAGAGAAUUUGAUGCUUUAAUUUCAAAGAUGAUAAGACGUAUUCUUAUUAAAUUAAAAACUUCAUUAAAAAAAACCAUAAACCUUAAAUAAAUGAAAUUGAUUUCAUAAGGAUACUCCCAAAAAGGUCAAUUUCAUAAAAGUAGUAGUUUUUAUCUUUUCUUUUAAUUAUUAAUUUCAUCCCUGCAUUUUGAAGGCUACUUUUCUAGAGCGAUUCAUUGUUUUAGAGAUUAACAUUAAUCGUAUUUGGAAACUAGUCAAAUGAAAAAGAAAGAAUCAACUUUUCCUUUUUAUGAAAAAGAAAUCGAAAUCAACCCCAAAUCUGUUUUUAAUCAGUACCAUCGGUUGCUUAAUAAUUUGACCGUAUUCUCAGAUUGGCUGUAUACCAAAAAUGUAAAGAACAGUCAUAAAGUGCACAACAGAAUAUAAAAAUUUUGAAUUUGUACUUAAAAAAAAUUAUGACAUUUUUAAGUAUUGUAUACUUAAAUUUAUAAAUUACACAUUAAGUACUCCGGUUUAAAAAAACUAUUAUAUUUACUCUUCAAUUUAUAAAAUGAUAUCAAUGAAUAUUUCUUGAACAAUUAAAAAAAAAUAAAACUUGCAUUGACCACGUCAAAUCAACAUUUUCAUGUAAAAUUUAAUUAUACAUGAGAUUUUUUUUUUUUUUUUCAUUGAGGGAAAUUUUAUCAUUUUACUUAUCCAACGUAUAAAAUGUAUUUUACUAUUCAUAUAAUUUGAUUGGAUCUGGCUUAAAAAGAAAUUAGGGCCGACUUUAAAAUUGGGCUUGCCAAAUGCCCAAAAACUGGUUUUGUCCCCCUGCAUUGUUAGGCCUGCCCAUUAAACAUGUGCAUCCGCUACUCGAUCAUUUACUUUCUAUUUUUACUCUUUUAAAUUUUUUCUUCCGAAAAAAAAAAAAAAAAAAAAAAAUAACUAUUAACUAUUACAAAUACAAGGAUAAUUUACAUCUCCGACAUCAUAAGCAAGCUAAGAAAUGAUACAAGACGGUGGGUUUUCGGAAGAUGAAAUCUUAAAGGUAAAGUAGUUACAAAAAUUUGCUAACCAAUCAGCACAUUAACUGACUUGCGAUGAAUAUGAGAUAAAUGAAACCGAACACCAUUAUAAGGGAGAGGCUUGGAUAUGUUUAACUGAAGGCCUCUCUCCACCUGGCAGAUCAACCAGGUCAAGAACCAAAUGAACUACCAGCGAAUUGUCACACGCCACCAUCCUAUUGACGACCAAUGAUAAUAGCUCAAAGCUCAGCCACUAAAAUGGAAAUCCUACCGAUAUGAAGAGAUGGUAAAGAACCAUCUUUUUUUCAGUUUCAGAAAUUCACAGAAUGGUGGAGACCAGCUAAUUUGAUUCAGCUGACAACCUGAGAAUGUAUUAACAGAAAAUAUCCAGCAAAGAGAAAUGAAAAUUUUGCGGUUGGUUUUCAUUGAUCGAUGUUGUUUAUAUAUAUACAAGUUGUUACAGAGCUUCUUCAAGCUAUUAUUCAUAACUGUUUGCUAACAACUAGUGCCAGCUAGGACUGACAGCAUAGCUAACAUUCUUCUAGAAUAAAUUAAUUGAUCCGCACCGUUUUACUUAUUUUCUUCUCUUGUUGCUGUGUUGCGUUUUGUUUAAAACUCCCCGUUUUGUCUCUUUGAGUUAAGUCUCCUAAUAUGUAUUAAAAUAUUGAAUUUCAAUUACUGGAAUCGUGAAGCUUUGUCAGCUAUGCAGAUGCGACUAACAAAUACACAUGGCAAUAACGUUAUUCUACAAACAAUUAGAUGGGUAAGACGCAUCUAAAAGUAGCUUAAUAUUAAAUUAAACUUGUCUCAGAGAAAUCUUUAACACAAAAAAAGUGAAAUCUUGAGAAAUCUACUAAUCAAGCAUAGCAAUACAAAUACUAAAAUGUAAAUAAAACUGUACACUAAGAAAGAAAACAUCUCCACACAUUGCCUUUUCUUUUUCAUGGUCUUUUCUUGUUUUCUUUCUCAGAGAACAACAUCAAACACUAAUCCAGCCUUCCAUUAUUUCCUGGAUAUAAACAAAUUAAUAUGACAUUCAUAGAAUUUUAAAACUAACAACUUAUCUAAUCCACUCCUCUCUUCGAGAAGGAGCAAAUUAAAAACCCAACUUCUCCUAUUUCAUAUGCUUCUUCUUCUUGGGCUAAGUCCAGCUAACUGCUAUUGGACUACCAACAACAUGUUUCCCAUCACUCCACUCUAAACGAGCAAACGCGUUAGUAUUAAUUGGCAAUGAACUUCCAGUUACAGUAACAGUAAAAGUUUUCUUCUCCUUUGCUUGGCUAAAGUUCAACACUUGAGGAUUAACUGAAAUUUUAACUCCCGUAAGCUGACCUGAAAUUGAAGCCUUAUAAGUCCCCGCACCAACCACAUUGGUAAGUGUUCGUGUGUAUUUAGCAACACUAGAACCACCAUUGAUCAUUUGUGUAGUAUCAAAGUUAACAGCAAAAGAAGGAUAGUUAAAAUCAUUCAAACUAUACUUCUUAUUCGAAUCGCAACUGAAUCUUCUUCUUGCAAGGCUAGUGAUUUGUGAUGCUGUGUAAUUUAACGCGCAGAGGAAACUUAAGUAGUCCUCGGAUGUUAGAUCGUAAACGAGCCCCGGAUCAAGGGCUGAUACUGGAUCAACAUGUCCUGCACCAUGGUCAAACGGAGUAGAGUCUUUCCCACUAGCAGUAUCUUUCAGUUUCUGUCCAUUUUUAUAAGCUACAUAAGCUGUAGUCAUUAAAGCUGAUCUAAUAGCUGCUGGACUCCAAUCUGGAUGUGCAGCCUUAAGCAGAGCAGCUAGACCACUAACAUGAGGACAAGACAUUGAAGUUCCUGAAAUAAUGUUGAACUCCACACGCCUUGGAUCUGUUGAUAGCCCAGUAGGACCAACUGAACCAGACCAUCCUGCUAAAAUGUUAACACCUGGGGCUAUUAGGUCUGGCUUGAGAAUAUCUGGUGUAAUUGAAUUAGGCCCUCUUGAGCUAAAAGCUGCAACAACUGGAGAUGGCUGAAUUCCAACUUUGGUGCCUUCAAAAAGAAUUGUAGCAGUUGGGUUUGAAUCU
rnacentral:lncRNA from 1 species